UCAUCUGUGGUGUUUUUAUGUUUUGGUAGCGCUGGAGCAUUCCACAUGGAUCAAAUCAACGAGAUUGCAAUUGGGCUCGAGAAUAGUGGGCAUCGUUUCUUGUGGACACUCCGACGACCUCCACCAAAAGAUAAGAUGGCAAUAUCUAGUGAUUAUGUAAAUUUCGAGGAAGUAUUACCUGAAGGGUUCUUAGAUCGUACAUCUAAAAUUGGGAAGAUAAUUGGAUGGGCACCACAAACGGCUAUUUUAGCUCACUCUGCAGUAGGAGGGUUUAUAUCUCAUUGUGGGUGGAAUUCUACAUUAGAAAGCAUAUGGUAUGGUGUCCCAGUAGCCACAUGGCCUAUGUAUGCAGAACAACAAUUGAAUGCGUUUCAAAUAGUUAGAGAGUUAGAAAUGGGGGUAGAGAUUAGAUUUGAUUAUAACAUGGAUACUAGUAAUCUUGUAAGUGCUCAAGAAAUUGAGAGUAGAAUAAGAAGUCUAAUGGAUGAUAGCAGCAACAUUAGAAUGAAAAGGACAAAAAUGAAAGAGAAGUGCAUGAAGGCCUUGACAGAAGGUGGAUCUUCAGACUGUAGCAUACAACGUCUAAUUGGAGACAUCAUAACUAAUAUCUCAUGAAGCGCAAAUUAUAGCAAUGUAUUAUCAAAAAAAGGUUCUAAGUCCUUAAAAAUGUUUGUUUCAAUUGCUUUUAAUAAUGUAAUGGUUGAGUGUCAUAGAAAAAUUGAUUAAAAAAUUAAGUUGGAAAAAAUGUAUUGUCUACUUAUUUUAAAUAAAAAUAAAAAUGGCAUAUGUUACAUCUUGUGUGACAUCUUUAUUUUAAUAUUAGAUGAUGUAUCAAAUCCAAAUUGUAUGGGAAUAUAAAAGGGUUUUAGGCUUUCUCAUCUUAUAUGUCUUGUUCUUGUAAGCCCUCAUACGAAAUGAUCACAUCCCAUUGCCAUUUCCAUUCAAUUUGGUGUUUAAUUUUGUUGUUAUUAAUUGUAAGAGGUUAGUUUUACAAAUCUUCCUCAUAUUUGAUUAUAAAUAUUUGAAUUUUCAAUACCUAACCUUGUCUCAUGUUAUUUGGGAGUGGUUAUUAAAGGAUUAAAGUAACUUUGUCAAAGUUGUGGUUGUGAAAUGAUAAAAUUUUGGUUUUAGUAAUAUAAUUUUUUAGACUUAGGUAUUUGGUAAAUUAACUUAAUAAGUUAAAAUAACUUGAUAACUUAAUUUAAGUUAUUAAGUAAAUUAAGUAUGUUUGGUAAAAUAAAGAUUUAAAGUAAAAAACAACUUUAAGCAAUAAGGAAAAUAAUUAACUUAUUUUUAAGUAUCCUCAUUUGACAUUUUUAUCCCCAUUUACAUUAAUUAUCUCCACAAUCUCUUUUGCUACUUCACGAUCUUCAUUGUUACUCGACCUCAUUUUCCCUAAUUAUAAUUUAUGAGAAUAAAUAUAUUAAUUUAAUUAUUUGAAAUAAAUUUUACAACCUUAAUACUUAAAGUAAUAAUUAAGUAAUAAAUUUUAAAUCAACAACAUAAGUAUAAUUUAACUUAAAGUCAACUUAAGCGACUAAGUAAUAAGUAUUAAGUUUUACCAAACAUUCCCUUAGGUGGUGUUUGUAUUUUUUUUUUACUUAGUUAUAAAUAGAAUUUAAAACUAAAUAGCGUUUAAUAAUGUUAAGUAUUAAGUUAUUUGUUUUUAUAAUAUUUUAUUUCUAUUAAGUAUAUAAAAAUAAAGAAAAAUCAAUAUAUUAUUUUUUCUAUAAAAAAUUAAAGAUUUUGAUUAUUUUUUACUCAACAAAAAAUUUAUAAUAAGUUAUAAAAAAUAGAAAAAUAACUCUCUUAGUUUAUAUUAAUUUCUUCUUUAACUUAAAUGAUUUUAAUUUUUUUGUAGUUUUUUUAGUGACUUUUUUAAAAAAGACACAAAAAUGGACUUUUUUGUGCUUAAGCUUUUCAAAUUAAUAUAUAUUUUUAUUAUUUUGUAUUUCAUAUUAAUAUAAUUAAAAAUAAAAAAAUUGUUAAAAUAUCCAAUGUGUAUAAAAGGAAAUGAAUCAUGGGUAGAAACAAAUGGAAUCAUGCUAAAUUAUAAAUAAAUAAGAUAUUUUUGUUAUAUUGUAUUUUUUUAUUUUAUUGAUCACCAUUUUUUUAAAUGAGAUCGUGAACUACAUUUUAGUAUCAUAGAAUGGCCCAAAAAGAAUAUGACACAUGGCAUAAUAAAUAGACAAAUGCAUUACAUGUGAGGCUGGUCCCAAAGGUGAUGGGGGUUGGAGAGAAUAGGAGUUGCACGUGGCACCCAAAUACCAUAUUCCCAAAAUCAGAAAAUAAAUUCGCGAAUUGAGGGAAACCCUAGGAGAGAGAGGAGAAAGGAGAGAAUGGGGAAGAAGAAGAAGAGAGCAGCUAAGGUGUUCUGCUACUACUAUGAGAGGGAGUUCGAGGAUGAGAAGAUUCUUCUUCAGCACCAGAAGGCCAAGCACUUCAAGUGCCAUGUUUGCAACAAGAAGCUCUCCACUGCCUUUAGCAUGGCCAUCCACAUCCUCCAGGUCCACAAGGAGACCGUCUCCAAGUACUAUUGCUUGUCAUUUGCAUUUUUUUUUUAAGACAAUUUCCAUUCAUGUGUUGGAUUGUUGGAAUUUAUAUAGGUGAAUUGAAAUUAAGAUUUUUUUUUUCUCAUAAGACAUGUUGUUUCUUAAUAGACAUAACUUGUUUUAAAUGAUGUAUUUUGUAUUUAAAAGACACAUCCUCUUCCAAAUGAUUUGUUUAAUGUCUUCAGAGACAACUAUAAACCCUCUAAUUUGUUCUCUUAGCACAUGUGACACUAGGUGUCUUCUCAUACUUCUCUUUUGACUCAUAGUCAUCCCUUAGUGGCCCAUCGACAAUUAUAUAGUUUCAUUUUCUAAGCCACCUUUAGGAACUCUUUGCUAAGGGACUCAUUUAGACCCACAUUGUGACCUUGGCCACCCUUCAUCCUUAGGUUAGAUCCUACUUAGGUUCACCUAGGCCCUCUUAGAUUUACUAAAGCCCACCUUGACACACCUUGACCCAUUUUGGUCACUUUUCGGUAAUUCCUGCAUGACUUACAUAAUUUGCAUGAUUUGCAUUUUUAACGCUCGCAUAUACUUGAUUUUCUUAUUUAUUAAUUUUUCUAUUUAUUUAUUUCUAUUUAGUAUUAUUGGUGUAGGGAUUUGUUUAUCUUUCUUUAUUUAGUUACCUAUUUUCAGAAAAUUGCAUGUGGUUGGUUAUCUUGUCUCUUUUAUUAUUAUUAUUAUUAUUACUAUUAUUAAAUUUGCAUGAAUUAAUACUUUAGUUUUCUCUUUUAUUUAUAUAUAUAUAUAUAUAUAUAUAUAUAUAGAUAGAUAUUCUUUGACAUGAAAAUCACGGGUCGCAUAUUGACAUAGUGAAGGAGGUCACAACAUAUUGAAAAUUUUUGGAGGAUCAUGAGGACUUUGUUUUUUUUUGGAAAGUUACCACCUUGAGAAGAUGAAGGGAAUGAGACCGCACCAUGGGAACUUGGGUUGCACCAUGGGAAAUCAAGUUACUCUAGGAAGAGUGUAAAUGUGAAGUUGUGUUAGACUUAAGUCUUUUAUUUUUUGUCAACUCCUUGGGAAGAGUCUCAUUAGGAGUGUGCUAGUAGAGUCCCAUUCCGCUGACAAGUAGAGUCUCGUUCUGCUUAUAAGUAGAGUCCUAUUCUGAUUACAAGUAGAGUCAUGUUCUGAUUAUAAGUAGAGUCACCCCUGACUGUCAAAUAAUUUUUUUUUUAAAGAGUUCUUCUAAACCUUCCAAUGUUUUGCUUUCCUCUCCAUUCUUUCAUACAUCUAUCUGGAGGAAUUUUUUAGAACCCAAGUUGUACACGUCUUGCCUAUAAAGUGCACCCAAAGCGAGAUUCAUUGGUACCCUAGUGCACCAAGUUCGUUUUGGAGAAGGGUGGAUCUAUUUCAAAGACAAUGCUUGUUACCCCUCAACCUAUCACCGAUAAGUUUCUUGUUAUUCAUUCCACUCUUUGUUUGUGUGUUUUGGGCUAGUCCUCUGUUUUCAUACCCUUAAAACAACAAUCUUGAAAUAGAUCCAAAUGGAAGCUUCCCUAGUUCACACCUGUCCUAACACCUCUAAGAUUGAUCCCUUCAAUAUGACAUUCUUUGAGAGAUGGCAGGAAAUAGUUUUCUCUGUAAUUGAUGUAGUGAACUUGGGACACAUUUUAACUAACCUAAAACCAGAAAAUGGUUCUGAAUUGUUGCCUACUUAGGAAAUUGAUAAUAAACAAGUUAGACAUGAUAUUCUUAGUACCCUUUCUAAUGAAAUUUUUGAUGUUUAUUGUCAGUAUAAAGUUGCAAAAGAAAUUUGGGAUGCAAUGAAUAAAAAAUAUAUUUUGGAAGAUGUAAGAACUCAUAAAUAUGCAAUAGGGAAUUUAACAAAUUUCCAAAUGACCAAGGAUAUCAACGUAUCAUCUCAAAUCCAUUACUACCAUUUGUUGAUUAAUGACUUAGCUAUUAAAGAAAUUAAAUUACCUGAACCUUUUGUGGUUAGUUACUUAGUAGAGACUCUUCCAGAGUCUUGGAAAGACUGAAAAAAUAACAUGAAAUAUCAAAGGAAACAAAUGUCCCUAGAAGAUAUCAUAAUCCAUAUUAGGAUUGAGGAAGAAAAUCGAAAUAUGGACAAUGUUGAGAAAGCUAAGGAACUGUCUUCUAAGGCUAAUGUAGUAGAAGAAAAACCUAAACCCAAAAACAAUAAGUCCAGAAAGCAAAACAUUAGGACCAAGCCUAAUGUAUCAAACAAGGUUUAGAACCUAACUAUUAAAAAAUAGUGUAAUUGCUUUGUCUGUGGCAAGUCUGGACACCAUGCAACUCAAUGCCACCAUAGGAAGAGAACUGAGAAGUCUAAUUCAAAGGAAAAUCUGGCAAAGACAGAGGUGAUCACAACAAUAGCCUUCUCUGAUGUGAGCAUUAUCUUUAAUAUGAAGGAUUGAGUGGUAGACUCUAGGGCUACCAAGCACAUCUAUGGAAACAUAAGUGCAUUUGCUUCCUAUACCACUAUAAAGAAAGAAGAGGAACAAGUGUUCAUGGGCAAUUCUAGAUCUACCCUAGUGAUUGGCAAAGGAAAAGUUCUUCUCAAGCUAACCUCUGGAAAAGUGCUCGCCGCCCAUAGUGAUGUUCUUCAUGUGCCAAAUAUCCGCUGGAACUUGGUGUUAGUAUCUUUGUUUGGGAAAGCAAGAGUGAGGAUCUUGUUUGACUCCGAUAAAAUAGUUUUAACCAAGAAUGAUGCAUUUGUGGGGAAGGGCUAUUGUAAUCACAGUUUAUUUAUGUUGAAUAUUUUUAUAUUAUCAAUAAUAAUGCAUCUUCUUCUUCUGCUUACAUAGUUGAUUCGUGUGAUAUUUGGCAUGGUAGAUUAGGACAUGUGAACUUUUCAUAUACGAAGAAAAUUGUUGAAUUGAGUUUAAUCCCUAAGUUGUCCUUAGAAAAUCUUAGAAAAUGUUAAUCAUCUGUAGAAUCUAAAACCACAAAGAAAUCUUGCAAAUCAGUAGAAAGAGAAUCAGAUUUACUAAGUUUAAUACACAGUGACUUAGGAGACCUAAAAAAUACAAUGACUAGAGGUGGUAAACGAUUCUACAUAACUUUCAUAGAUGACUACUCAAGGUAUACAAGGGUAUAUCUUUUGAGAAACAAAGAUGAAGUAAGAGAUGUUUUCAUCAAGUACAAAAAUGAAGUGGAAAAUCAACUAAGUAAGAAGAUUAAAAAGCUUAGAACUGAUAAAGGAAGAGAGUAUGAGUCCAACCCCUUUAAUUAUUUUUGUGAAGAUCAUGGGAUCAUUCAUGAAACUACUACUCCUUAUUCUCCUUACUCUAAUGGAGUAGCAGAAAGAAAAAAUAGGACCUUAAAAGAAAUGAUAAACGCAAUGUUGGUAAGUUCAGGAGCACCCUUGAACUUGUGGGGGGAAGUUAUCAUUUCCUCUUGUCAUAUUCAAAAUAGAAUACCUUACAAGAGAACUGGUAAAACUCCUUAUGAGUUGUGGAAGGGUUAUGCACCUAAUAUAACAUACCUGAAAGUGUAGGGUGAUUAGCUAAAGUUCUUUUCCCUAAACCUAAUGUUCGUUGGCUAUGCUGAGAAUAGUGUGACAUAUAGGUUUCUUGUUACUAAGUCAGAAAACAGUCUUAUGGAUGUCAAUACCAUAAUAGAAACAAAGAAUGAGGAUUUCUUUGAAAACAUAUUUCCUAUGAAACUAAAUGGUGAACAACAAGUUCAGAAAACAAGUAGAGAUGAGUCUAUUGAACCUUCUAAGUUUGAACCUAGAAGGAGUAAAAGAGAUAAGAAAGAAACAAACCUUAGAGAUGGCUUUUAUGCCUUCCUAAUAGAUGAAGACCCAAGAUCCUACAAAGAAGCUAUAACUUCUCCUGAUGCACCAUUCUGGAAAGAGGUCAUUAACAGUGAAAUCGAAUCAAUCAUGUAUAACCAUAAAUGAGAGUUAGCAAAUUUACCUCCUGGUGCAAAGACUAUUUAUUGUAAGUGGAUAUUUAAAAGAAGGUUAAAAUAAGAUGAGUCUGUAGAGAAGUAUAAAGCUCGUUUAGUUUCCAAAGGCUUUAAACAAAGGAAUGAUGUAGAUUACUUUGACAUAUUUUCCCUUGUGACUAGAAUAGCGUCAAUUAGAGUAUUGAUCGCUCUAUCUUCCAUUCAUAACCUGGUGAUACACCAAAUGGACGUCAAAAUUGCAUUCUUGAAUGGGGAUUUGGAAGAGCAAAUUUAUAUGGAACAACUUGAGGGUUGUGUAGUUCUAGGGAAGAAGAAAAAUGUGUGUAGGUUGGUUAAAUCACUAUAUAGGUUAAAACAAGUUCCCAAACAAUGGCACAUCAAGUUUGAUCAUGUGUUAGUAACUAAUAGAUAUUCCAUUCAUGAUGUUGAUAAAUGUAUCUACAACAAGUAUGAGGAUAACACAUGUGUAGUCAUUUGCCUUUAUGUUGAUGACAUGCUGAUUUUUGGAACUAGCCUAGAGGUUGUGUGUAAGACCAAAAAAUUCCUAGGUUCUGAGUUUGAUAUGAAAGACCUAGGAAAGGUAGAGGUGAUUCUAGGAAUUAAAAUAACUAGAACACAUAAUGGGCUUAAGCUUUCUCAAGAGCACUAUGCUGAGAAGAUCCUAAAGAAGUUUGAACACUUUGAUUGUAAACCAGUGUCAACUCCUUAUGAUCUCAGCUCACAACUGAAGAAAAAUAAAGAACAAAAUGUUGCCCAAAUCGAGUAUGCUCAAAUCAUAGGAACCCUAAUGUACUUAAUGAACUAUACCAUACUUGACAUUGCUUAUGUAGUAGGUAGAUUAAGUCGGUACACCUAAAGUCCUAAUCAGGACCAUUGGACCAUUGUUCGUAGAGUCCUUAAGUAUUUGAGAGGCACCAUUAACUAUGGUUUGUGCUAUAGUGGAUAUCCAAGUGUCCUUGAAGGAUUUAGUGAUGUAAAUUGGAUCUUAGAGUCAGAUGAGAUGAAAUCCACUAGUGGAUAUGUUUUCAUCCUUGGUAGAAGUGUAGUUUCUUGAAAGUUUGCCAAGCAAACUUGCAUUACUCAGUCUACUAUGGAAGCUAAGUUUAUUACCUUAGAAAAGACAAGUUCUGAGGUUGAGUGGCUUAGAAACCUCUUAGUAGAUCCCGUCUGUGUCUAUGCGUUGUGAUAGCCAAGUUGUAAUUGCUAAGGCUAAGAGUAAAAUAUUUAAUGGAAAGAACAAACAUAUAUGCCUAAGGCACAAUAUUGUGCGACUGCUGCUUGAAAUAGGGGUUAUAUCUCUAGAAUUUGUGAGGUCAAAGUUGAAUUUGCUCGAUCCUUUGACCAAACCACUAAAUAAGAAACUAAUGGAAGAAACAUCGAGGGGGAUGGGGCUUAUGCCUAUUACAAAAGUCAACAGUGGUGGUAACCUAACCUAUUAGAAUGGAAAAUUCUAUGAAGUUGGUUCAUAUGGGUAAUAACAAAUCGCUUGUCAACUUGAGGUGCUCUAUCAACUUUAAUUGUAUGAGAGUCUAUCCCUAUGGUGUGGAUAGAGCAUAUUCUGCAUUGACUAAGGUUGAGUGUUUACUCUUAAUGAAUGCCACAUUCCUUAUGAAUGGUAUGUUUAAAUGCAUAAUAUACUUGAUGGAUUCAACUAUAUGAGAGUAGAGAUGAGACCACUUCCUAUAAAAACUUAAGCAGGUUCUCUAGAGCUCUCAUAAAUAUCCAGGCAGAGUACAUGGCCUAUUUGUGUCAACCCGUUAUGUACAACUCAUAAUGUAAUUAAGAAAACCAAUGUGGAUAAAGGUCUCUUAAGUUACAUCAAGAAACACUGGUUCAUAGAAAUUCAUUUUUCACCGUAUUUUGUGAUUCAAUACUUAUUUGUCCUAAGAUUGGUUCAUAGCCUUUGGGUACCAAUACUGAUGCAUUUGAUUUUUUUUUCUCCAUUUUUUCCUUCCUUCACAUCUACUCUCUAUGAGGGAUUGCAGAAAGAGUGUAAAUGUGAAGUUGUGUUUGACUUAGUCUUUUAUUUUUUAAUGACUCUUUGGGAAGAUUCCCAUUAGGAGUGUGCUAGUAGAGUCUCGUUCCGCUUACAUGUAGAGUCUUGUUCUGUUUAAACUAGAGUCAUGUUCUAAUUACAAGUAGAGUCAUAUUUUUAUUACAAGUAGAGUCCUGUUGGGACUGUGUUAGUGGCCUAUAAAAGCAGGUCACUCCUCACUCUCAAAUAUAUUUUUUUUUUCAGAGAGUUCUUCUAAAUCUUCCAACAUUUGGCUUUCCUCUCCACUCUUUCAUACAUCUAUCUGGAGGAAUUUUUUAGAACACGAAUUGUACACAUCUCGCCUGUAGAGUGCACCCAAGGUGAGAUUCACUGGUUGAUGAAUCCUAGAGGUAGAUCACUGGUACCCUAGUGCACCAAGUUUAUCUUCAAGGAAGGUGAAUCGAUUUCAAGAACACUGUUUGUCACACCUCAACCGAUCAUCGAUAAGUUUCGUGUUAUUCAUUCUAUUCUUUGUUUGUGUGUUUUGGGCUAUUCAUUUGUUUUCAUACCCUUAAAACAAUAGUUACUUCAUGGGAAAGAGAACAUUGGAAGAUAAGAAGAUUUUUGGAGGAAUAUGACAAUUGUAUUCUCUAGGGAGCCACAACAUCAAUAUGAGAAGAGUAAGUCUUCAUUGAAAAAAAAAAAAAGACAAAUUUAAGGAAAAUGAUCAACAGGGACUGCAAAUUUGAUUUUGAGGGUCUCCUUACAAUAGACCGAACCAUCUAACAACCCUUUUCUUCAUAAGAGGACAUCACUUUAUGACCAUACUAAAUCCAACAUUGCCAUUUGGACCGUAAGGAUGCUUGCUUGCUAUUUGCACCAGAGAAGGAUGAAUGAAGUUGUAUCGUGCACCAUUUUGUGAGUUGCAAACCACAUUCUGGUAAGUUAAGAGGAAAUAAUCCACAUCAAAUUUUGGAAGCCAUGACAUCUGGGAGGUUAUUGAUACUUGAGAGGAAAAUUUUCAACUUUUUGACUUCUUUGAUCAUUUAAUCCAACUGAAAGUAAAAAAAAUCAAGGAUCAUUGACGAAUGAGGUUGUGAUAUGGUGCCUAAUUUCUAGUACAAUAGCCUUAAUUUUGAGUUAUAUAUCAUAUUCGAUCAUCAAAGGCAGGAGUAAUAGAUGACGGGGGUUCAGAUUCUUCCAUCCAUAUACCAAUGAUGGCGUUGAUGGUGAGAGGGUCUUGUGGCACACCGUCAAAGCCAUCCAAAAAGAUUGCCUCAUCUACACCGAUGACCAUGAUGCUUCUUCUAAUAGCUUGAUGGCUCGUGUCGUUCGACAUUUUGGUGGAGUUUUCAAGGUGAGGGUUGAGAAGCAGGUUUGAGCGUGUUGAGAAAGAGAUUCAAAGCCUUGGGAGGAUUUUUUAGAAAAGAGAUCGCACACAAAGGGUUGUCCACUUUCCAUUUGAGAGAACGAUAAUCAGAAUUUUUAAGGAACAACAAUCAGAAUUUCUAGAGUGGUGGAUGUUAAGAAUUUUUUUUUUUUUUUUUUAUGGGAUAACGAUCAGAAUUUUUCCGAGAACAACAAUCAGAAUUUUUGGAGAGGAAGAUGCAACAAAGAAACCAUCAUCUUAAUGCGCACCACCAGAAUUGUAGAACCAACUCACCAUCGAUAACUGUUCUCCAUCUUCAUGCACAGGUUGAUCAUUCGACCAAUGGGACGCACUCUCUACGGGGAAAACCAAUAGAACCAGACAUCAUCUUCACAUGAAAGAAGGUUUCCACAUUGAGGGGCUGCCACUUUGAAACCAUUGUCGGCAUCUCUCCAUCACAAAGGAGCUUCGGCAUGCAUCGCUUCACAGGAACACCCAUAGGUGAGUUUUUUUUAUUUUUUUUGGGAAACUUUGGUAUUUGAAUCCAUGAGUGCUAUACAUGUAGUGGAAGAUUGAGGAUUUUUUUUUUUUUUUAAAUAUAAUAUAGAGUCAUGAGUGUUUGAACGCUAGUGGCUUGGCUUUUUUUAGGGAAAAAAAAUUGAUGUAUAUACACGUGGUCCGCCAUGUGAUGUUUCAAGUAUGUUAAUAGUUUGUUUCAUUGAAUUAAAAAUUAAAGUGAAUGUGGUGGGUCAUGUUGUUAUUGGUUUACAUUGUUAUAAAUUUACAAUGAAACAAAUGAAAACUAAUAUCCAUAAAAAUUCAUUCAUUUAUUUAUUUAUUUAUUCAUUUUCAUAAAGUUAUUUGUUGCAAAUUUUGAAUAUCCAUGUUAGUUUAUACUUUUCAUAAAACCAUUUGUUGUUAAUUUUAAAUAUAUAUAUUAAUUUAUAUUGCUCCUUGAACUUUUAGUUUGUAGUUUUGGUUGAUCCAUGUUAAUUUUUGUUAUCCUUAAAAUUAUCAAUUGUUAUUUUGGUUGAUCCAUGUUAAUUUUUUGUGGUCCUUUGAAUUUUUAGUUUUUAAUUUGAUGGUCUGUGUUAAUUUUUAUAUACCUUUGAGCUUUUAAUUGUUGAUUUUAAUAAACUAUGUUAGUAUAUAUUCCUUCUUGAAUUUUUAGUUUUUGGUUUUGGUUGAUCCAUGUUGAUUUAUAUUGCUCUUUGAAUUAUUAAUUAAUAUUUUGGUUGAUCCAUGUUGUUUAAUAGUUUUCUUUAAAUAUGAGGGUUUUAGUUUUUAUUUACCUCUUAUUAGUUUGUGAUUUAAAUAUCCUUAGAUGUUAGUUUUUAUUAUUUUCCAAUUAUUCAUUCUUAUUGAACCUAAAUUAGUUCAUGUUUUUAUUAUCUCUAGCAUUAGUUUGGUUGUUCCUCAUUAAUUUAGGUUUUUAAUAUCCCUAGUUGUUGACUUUUGUUAAUAUUUCAUGUUAGUAUAUGUUCUUAAUAAUUUUAGGCUUAGUUUCCUUGACCCUUGAUGAUAUUAAUUCAUGCUAGUUUAAAAUUGUUAUUAUCAUUGUUAUUAUUAUUAUUAUUUGUUAACCCAUAUAGAUUUUUUUGUUGUCCUUUGACCUUUUAAUCUUAGGUAUUGAUUAUCCAUGUCAUUUGAGUAUUAUUAGAUCAUUUUCAUGCUAUGAGAGUUCUCAUCUUUAAAAUUUUGGUAAUUCUAAGGUGUUAAAUCUUCUUAGUAUUAUUCAUGAUAAUUUUAUGUUAAAUAAUUUUUCUUGAAUGACAGUAAAUUAGUUUCAGAUUUUUCAUUAUUUGUUUAAUAUUAGUUAGUUUCAUGUUAUUUAGAUUAUUUUCAUGCCAUUAAAAGUAUUAUCCCUUAUAGUUUAUUAAUUCUUAGGUUUUAAUCUUCUUGUUUUAGCUUCAUAUCAUUAUAUUAUUUCCCAUGCUAUUAAAAGUUUUGUAAUGCAAGUUCGAUAAUUUUAAUAUUUGAUCUUCAUGUUUUUAGUUUCAUGUCAUUCAAUAAUUUUUCAUGAUAUUGAAAGUUCUUCUUUGGAAAUUUAGUAGUUCUUAAGUUUUAGAUCUUCUUGUUAUUAUUCAUGUAUUUUGAUCCUGUUAUCAUAUUAAAAGUUGUCUUUUUUGGAAACUCGGUAGUCUUAGGAUUUAGAUCCUAAAUCCUCCAAUUAUUAUUCAUGCAAUUUGUUUGUGUUAUGAACUAAAAAAUUUAUCUUGAAAGGUUUAGAAGUUCUUAGGACUUAGCCUCAUUCUUAUUUUAGAUUCAUGUUAUUUUUUUAUAUUCAUGCUAUUUAGAAAUAUGGUUGCUCAUCUUUUAAAGCUCGUUUUUCUUCUAAGACGUAGUUUCUUGUUACCACUCAUGGGGUUUAAUUAUUUAUUUAUUUUGAAAGCAUAUUGGCUAGUUUGGGAUUCAGAUCUCCUUAUUAAAAUUCAUGUUUGAUCUUUUAUAUUUGAAAGCAUGUUAUUUGUUUGCAAUUCAGCUAAAAUUCAUGAUAUUAGUUGUUUAUUUUUCAAAGAUUGAUUUUUAGAAAGAGAUUUUUAGAAAUUGACAUUUUGAAUUAAGUCAAAAUCUCUUCUUUUCUUUCAAAAAAUGAAUUUUUCUCCAUAAAUGAUGUGGCUCCUUGAUCCCAAAUGAAAGGUAGCCAAUAAGGCGAUCCAUGUUGAUAAUUCUUUUGUUUUCAAAUCCCUUUUAAAUUAGAAAUAAAAUAAAAUAAAAUAAAAUAAAAUAACUCCAUUUUGUGUCCAAUGUUUUGGAUUUAUCAAAUCACAUGGUUUGAUCUUUUGCUUUCCUAAAAUCAUUCUCAAAGGAAUUUAAAUAUUAAAAAAAAAAAUCCAUUCCCGGUUUUUAAGGCCAAUAUCUCACUUUGUUUUAAAGAAAAAAAAAUAUAUAUGUAACUUAGUUUUAUCCAAAUUGCAUUCCUUUUUCUUAGUUUUCUAAAACUUUAUUUUCUUAACAUAGAUUUGAACUUGUGUUCCCAAGCUAAUAGGAAUACACAGGUGAAUCUUAUGAAUAUUAAUUGGGGAUUUGAUGGGACCCCAACAUAAAAGAAUCUUUUCAAAACUUAUUUUUGUUGCCACUUUUGCUACUUGUUAUAAUCAUAACCAUCAAUUUUUUAGGAAAAUUAUGCAAGAUGUAUGUGAUAAUUGAUGACUUUGAAUACUCUGAUAAUUUUUGCUACGCUAUUUAGAUACCAAGCAUGCUAGGAUUUCUUUUUUUUAUUAUUUAUUACUAUAAUUUUGAUCUAACCUUCCAUGUCUUGUGAAAACACACUAUAAGUUAUCUAUGUUAUUUAGGUACUCAUCUUACCUUCACAUUUUAAUUUCAUAAAUUGUGUAUUACUUUAUAUAUGAUCAUUACCUAUUGCUUCGUAUGUGAUUGUCAUGUUUAGCAUAUCUUUUUUUAUUGUUUGUUUGACUUGUCAUGUUUGAUUAAGAGACUAAGGUAAAACGCAUGAUAUGUGUUUUAUUUUCUAAACCGACCAUUGAUGUCAUGUGAUAGUGCUUAAGUUGCAGUUCAGGUAUGCAAUACAAUCAUUUCUUUAUGAUUGUGUUUUGAAUUCUUGUUUGGCUUGCUAGUGUUGAAAGAUUUUAAAAAUCACCUUAGUCCGUCUAAGUAUCCAUAAUCAACUAACUAAUUGUCAUAUUUCCAUCAACUUAGCUAGUAGAGAGACCUCUCUAUGGAUUAGAAGGGUGCUACCUCUUUGGAGGUAUUUUCUUGAUAGGUAACUUGAUCCCCGGAUCCAAACUCGAGUUUUUCGUAGACAGCUUUUCCAAAAGCUAGGAAUCAUUUUUAAGGGUUUUGUUCUUACUUGAUUUCCCCUUUUUAAAAUAAAUAAAUAAAAGUAAGUGGUAACUCCAGUUUUUUUUUUCUCUCGUAAAAUACAAUUUUUCCUUAAACAAAAGUGAGUCUUAUCAAUUGAGUGGGGAUGUAUUGUGAAAAAUGUGGGUCCACAACAACCCUUCAAAUGAUGUGUCUAGUAUUUUAAAGACAUCUCUUCUAAAGGUCACCUUCAAAUCUAUAAACAAACAUCUCUUCUGAAUUAAUAUUCAUCCAUUCUCUCCAUUCUUUCUCCUUUAUUGUCAUUCAAGUCUCCUUAGCUUCAAGUCUAGUCAUUUCUCUUCUUUUUUUUACCAAAUAUUUGGUGUACAAGUGAGUACAAAUCACCAAGUGAUUCACCAUUUUUUUUAGUGAUUUGAAGUGUUACUAUCACAAAAAAGUGAUCAUUGUAACCUAGGAGACAAUUGUCAAUAAACCAUAAGCACCUGAAUGGGGCAAAUUCAUCUUAAGGACAUAAAGUCAACUUUAGCCUUGAUCAACCUUAUUUGUGACUUUCAGUUUUCUACAUAUUUUAUUUUAUUUGUAUAUUUACUAUACACACUUAUUAUCCCUAUAUUUUCAGUGAUCUGGACUACAACUUUUAGUAGUAAAUCGAGAUUUCUUCUCCAAACAGGAUUUUAGGAGAAGAAAUUAUGUUUAUGGAAAAGUUUUUACUAUAGAAAAUUAAAUUUAAUGUAGUAGAUCUUGACUUAUCGUGUUUGAAAGCUAUGAUUAUUGAUUAAAAAAAAUUAAUGUUAUUUUUCUUUUAAUUACAAGUAUUUUUUAUAUAUAAAGUUAAUAUUUAAGUAUAAAACCUUUUAGAAAUGUCAACUCAACUCUAUUUAUGGAAUAAUUUUAAAUUUUCCUUUUAGCAAAAGUUGAAAUAAACGUAAAAUAACUACUUUUAUUAUAAGUUGAUUUUAUGUUUGGAAUAGAAUGCUUUUAUUCAAAAUAAAGAAUAAUUAAGAUAUUUUUAAAUUUUAGUUAAAUAAAACUUGUUGAAUACACCAAUAUUUUCUCUCGUUACACCCAUCUUAUUUUUAAUUUUUUUUUUAGUAAAAAUGUGAAUGUCUUUUUCUUCAUCAUCCUUUUGACACUCAUGUCUCAAAUCUUAAUUAGCUUUCUUAUUCACUUUUCUUCCCCUUUCCUUUAUUUUAUUUCAAUUUUCCUUUAACUAAAAUAGAAAAACAACUAGAAAAAUAAUAGUUGGUGUGCAACCAUGACUAUUGUCGGUAUAGAUAGAAAAGAAUUGGUGGAUUAAAUAACCACUAAAUUAAUCAUCAAAACUUUAACUUUAACUUUUUAACUCAAUAAAAUUUAGACUUGACAAACAAUGAGUCAUACACAUUGAACGAAUGUUAUGCAAUUCACAAAGCGAUAUAUGACCAAAUUUGAAAGGCUACAAAAUCAAAUCUUGUAAAAUAAAAAUAAAAUAAAAUUUUUAAAGUAAAAAAGAGAAUUAGAAAAAUAUAUUCUCUUGCUAGUAAAUUUCUGAAAUGAAAGAAACAAAUUGCUUAAUUAAAUCAAAAGCGAAUUGUAAAGAAAUAUUCUCUUGUUGAUAAAUUUUUUAAAUGAGGGUACACAAAUUGCUAAAUCAAUCAAUCAAUCAAUCAAAUUCCUUAAAUUGAGUAACCAACUACUGGGGAUUCCAAAUUUAAUUUCUUAACUUCACCUAUAAAUAAAAAUCACCUUCUUCAAUAUAGGAGAUUAAAAAAAUAAAUAAAUAAAUAAAUUUCAGAAGAAGCCAGAGAAAAAAGGAUUCUCAAGGAGAAAAAUGUUUCACAAUAUACCCCCUACAAGUCCAAGAAAAGCACAUGAAAAACUAUGUACAUACUUUUCACCAUUCUCAAAGUUCAAUAGUCAUUUAGAAAACAAGAUAUGCAAGACUCUCAAUUGAACUUUAAUUUCAAAGAAAUACUUACAUCGUCAUUCAUUAGAUUGUGAUUAAAACAAUCAAAUCAGAGGAAAAUUUUCUUUACAAAGAAUAUUAUAAUAGAAAAUUGUACCUCAUAAAUUUUUCUAAUUAGGAAAAUUUAGGUAGGUGUAUUUAACAACUCUUUAAAAAAAUAAAUUUUAUCCCUAAAAAAUUAAUAUACAUUUAUAGGAGCACUAAGUGACAAAAUUCGAAACUAAUGGAGAUUUAAUGCAAUGUUAUGAAGAUUAGACCGAACGAGGACCGGAUUGGUCUGGUUCACCACAUCAAGCCACAAAUGAGUUGAAUCGGCAUUAAAUCGGUCCAACCACUAGGUGAGUUAGCUCAACCAAUUCAAGAGCUACACUUUAUUCCCUUUUUUUCUUUUCCAAAACUCACCUAACCGUCCAACACAUAUAAGUCCAUAGUCAAUUUGCAUGAAUGACAAGUUUAUAUAGCCUACUUUUGCUUCAUGCUUUUUCGAUGUAGAAUCAAGUGAAUUUUUGUUUUUGGAGACUAAAUGUCAUGACCAUGGGAUUUGAACAAAACAUGGAACACCCAAGUUAUCCUUACAUGUUUGCAAAGAAAAACAUUCGAAAGCUAUAUAUACAUUAUUGAAAAUUUUAAAAUGAAUAUAAAUAUUUAUGAUUUAUCUAUAAUAAAUAUGGGAAUAAUAUAAAUAAAAAACUAAUAAUUUGAAGAUAAUAAAAUGUAUAGCUAUUGAAAUCCAAACAAAUUAAAAUAAUAAAAUCCUUUUAUCUUAAUAAAUUAAAGUUACUUAUUUAAUAAAAAAAAAACUAAUAAUUUAAUAAAUCAUUAAGUUAUCGUUAUCAUAUUUUGAGCUAUCAAUAUUAUCAAUAAUAAAAUGAUGAAAUGUGUUUAAAAUUUAAUUACUUAUACAUUUUCUUAUUUCAUAUAAUUGUUUUUAAUUUUAUUAAUAAUGCAAUUUAUAUAUUUAUGACAUCAUUGGUUUAAUAAUUUCAACCAUCGAUCUAAUCGAUGAAUUAUGAAUUCGAUAACUUUUAUAAUUUAAUGAUCAAUCCAAUUUUGAAAACAUUAUUUUAAUGUAUGUACACUAAACCUUAGGGAAUUUGAUUGAAAUUAACUCAUACAAACAAUUUUGUUUGUAUAUAUUUCUAGUUCUUUUACUUAUUUUUAUGGGAGAAUUAUCUUUUGGGGGUAGAUGGGCCCCCAAAUUAACAAAAGGUCCAUGUAACUCUUCAAAUUGAGUUGAAGGAUAUGAAAUAGUAACGGACAAAUAUACCCUUUAAGAACACAUAUAAAAUAUUUUAUAAAAUUAAGUUAAAUAAUUCUUUUUCAAUAAUUUUUUUUUUCAAAAAUACUAAAUUAAAUAAAAGUAGUUUUCAAAAAUAUUAAAUUAAUUUUUUUUUUCAAAAAUAUUAAAUAAAAUAAAUUUAUUUUUAAAAAAUAUUAAAUAAAAUAAAUUUAUUUUUAAAAAAUAUUAAAUUAAAUAAAAGUAUUUUAAAAAAUAUUAAAUUAAAUAAAAGUAUUUUAAAAAAUAUUAAAUUACAUAAAAGUAUUUUUUAAAAAUAUUAAAUUAAAUAAAAAAUAUUAAAUUAAAUAAAAGUAUUUUUCAAAAAUAUUAAUUUUUUUUCUCAAAAUCAACAAAUGAUAUUUUUUGAAAUACUGAAGGAUGAUAUCCUUCAACUCAAUUUCCAUACUUUCAUUGGGUCUUGGGCUCAAUUUAAAGAGUUAUAUGGACCUUUUGUUAAUUUAGGGGCCCAUCUACCCCCAAAACAUAAUUCUCCCAAUUUUUAUAGGACUUUCGAAAUUUGCACAUGUAAUUGCCAUUGAUAGCAUUUGGAUAUGCAUUCUAAUCUAUUGUUCAUGCAUGACUAAGCAAAUAACCUUCGCCACUGUAAACAACCAUGAUGUGAGUACCAACAAAGCCAAGUCACUCACCCUCUUCAUAUGGUUUUUAUUUUUUAUUUUAUUUUUUGUUAAUGUUUGGAUAUGGGAAUAAAGAAAAAAAGACAAGGCAUGCAAGCAAGGGAAAGGAAAAGUAAUGGGAGGGAUAUAAGAUUCAUAAUAAUGAUAAGGGCUUAGGUAUGGUACAAAUAACACCUUUUUAGUACCAAUUAGUGGGUGUCACAUGUGCACUGGUUCAUUGCUUUGUUCUUAGCAUCUCAUUAUUUUGUUUUGUAUCCUCCCAAGUUGGAUCAAACUAUGCAUCACUUUCCUCCUCAAGAUAAAAAAACCAAAAGAUAAAAAAGAAUAGGCCGGUUAGGUAAACCUUUCUUCAACAAUCAAGUUAUCCAUGAGGUUAAGUGAAAAAGACAUAAAAGAUGAAAUUGUUUUUGUUCCUUAUUUUGGAAGUGAGAAUUCCUUUUAUAGAUUUAUUUUGGUGUAUUAAUCAUGAAAAGUUAAUAAAUGGAAACAUCAAUUCUAUAUUGUUCCUUAAAUGAUUUCCAUUACGAGUAUCAUAAAGGCUCUAAUCAUUAUGCAAUAAUUAUGGAAUGACAUUUAAGGUUUUGGCCAUUAUGUGAUUAAUCUGUGAAUUGUUGUCAUUACAUAAUUAAUGUAUAGGUUAUCCUUUACACAAGGUCAUAAUUUGCAAUAGUGAUCAUAUUUUAUGAGUGGUAGUCAUUCCUGAAUGUGAUCAAUGCUUUUUGUGACGUGAUGAUGAUAAUGAUCUAUUUUUACGGUGAGGUGGGUCUCAUGGGGACUCUUGACAAGCAUUAUAUGGAGGUAGCACAUUGCUUUUUUGACUUUGCUACAUGACGAAGGAUUUUCAUAUCCCUACACUUCCUAUUUUACAUGUGAACUAAUUAUUUUAUAUUUUAGUUCCAUUAUUUUGUAGUUUAGUCUUAUUACAGGCAUUACAUUUUAAUCUCAUUGAUCUAUAUAAUGGUUCCAUGUGUUUAUAACAUGGGUCUUUAUACUUUCAUUUAGUGACUCAGAUUUUAUUAUAUACUUAAAUGAUUAGGAUUAAAAUUUCAAUAUCAUAUCAAAUAUAAACCCAAUAUAUUUCUUUUUUUAUAAUAAUAAAUUUAUUGAAGAAAGGUAUGAUUGAAUAUUAGAGAUUGUGGCUUUCAAGUUAACACUAAAAAAACUACGCACAUAGAUGAUUUUAGUGUUAAAAAACUUGAGGAGAAUUAUUUCCAAUUGGUGACAUGUGUUAGGUAUAAAGUUGCCUUUAAUAAGAUUGAUAACUACAUUACUAAAAUAUAAAACCUUAUUGGUAAUAAUAGUAAAGGAUUGAUUAUGACACUAACUACUACUUUUUUGGUAUCAUAUCAAAAAGUUAUCAUCAACUAAGGGUAUCAAAUGUAUGCAUGUUGAUCCUAUUACUUUGUACUUGAUAUCUAAUUAGUUAUACUUUAUAUACAUAAUGAUCGUAUUGGUUUGUAUCUUGGUUCAUUACUUUUCAACAUAUGAUACCUAGAUUUCAUUAUUUUAUACUAAACAUUUCAUUGUAUUAUACCAUAUAUGUGAUCUCAUUGAUCCAUACCUUUAUUCCAUUAUUUUGUACCAUGUGAUAGCUCGGAUCCUUGCUUUUGCUAUAUAUUACAUGUGACUUUGGUUCCAUUAUUUUGUAUUCGAGUGUUUUAUUAUUUUAUAAUUUAUAUAUAAUUUUAUUGUUUUCUACCUUAAUUUCACUAUUAUUAACCAUAAAUAACAAUUUCAAUAAAAAAAAGUUUUCUAUGAUAUGGGAUGUAUAUUAUAUAUUAAAUUUAUCAUUUAUGGGAGAUAAUUGCCCCCCAUCUAACGCUCAAAAAAUUAUGCAUAUGAAAGAUUUUAGUGUCGGAAAAGUAGAGAUUUUUUUCUAGAAUUGGGUCAAAAAGGUAUAUGUGUGACAUUUAAAUUUGUCUGCUUAUAUGAUUGAGAUAAGAACAUUUGGAAUUAGAGAAUUAGUCGAUGUUCAAUUAAUAAUGCAGCAGUGAUGAAAUUCAGUGGAAUUAAUUUAGAUACUAUUGAAUGGACGUCUCACAAAGUGGACUAAAUUUUAUCAAUUUGAUUGAUUUGAAAAAUUCAUAUGUUUAAAAUCAUUCAACAUUCUGAGAAUAAUUCCUUUUUCAAUUAAAAAUUGUCUGCUCCACACGAAAAGACAAACUUGGUUUUGGUCUCUUUCCAAAGUAGAAAUAAUUCCAUAAAUAUUGAAUUAUAUUGUUUACUAAAGAGAAUUGAAGAGAUCAAAGAAUGCCAACCAAAAACAAAAAAACAAAAAAAGACAAAUAUUUGCACGGAAAAGUCCAUGCAAUAGUACUCACGCCCACAGCCUAAGACUUCAACAUCAGAGAUAUGAAUAUUCUAUAUUCUAUGUCGGCCAUGACAUCACCUCCAUUCUUCUUCUCCAAGCUAAAACCACAUAGUGAAGAUCUAUAUAUAUAUCUGAAUCAUCCGGUGUUUAAUUCCACUGAAAAUAAGAAAAUUUCUUAGAAUUUUCUCUGUGAGCCGUAGUAUUAGCUAGUGAUGGUGAAGAAAAUAGAGCUUAUUUUUGUCUCUGUCUCAGCUAUAGGACAUCUUGUAUCAGCUGUGGAGUUUGCUAAGCUUCUUGUUGGUAGAGAUGACCGCUUCUCAGUCACUCUACUCAUCAUGAAGCUACCUCUUGAGGACUCUGCGGUAACCAACUAUAUCCAUUCAGUUUCUGCUUCCGUUUCCGGGUCCAUUCGAUUUGUCCACCUUCCUGAACUCGACUCAGAUUCAUCCAAUUCCCACCCAUCAUCGUCAUCCCCUAAUAUCUUCUAUAAUAUCAUUGCAAGGCAGAAGCCUCUAGUGAGGGAUGCAGUCCACCAGCUCACUCGGUUUGAGUCGGGUCGACUCGUUGGGAUUGUGGUCGAUAUGCUUUGUACUGUUAGAUUAAUUUUUGUAAUUAAUCUAUAAUUUGGGCCACACAUGUAAAUAAUUAAAAUGUGUGUGCUAUCAUUUAAUUAAUUAAGCCUAAAUAUAGUGAUCUAAUUAAUAAUUGAUUAAUUGGCUUAAGGGUAUAAUUGUCAUGAGAUUAUUGUGUAGAUACCAUUAGAUAAUUAUUAUUUCUAUGAGGGGCAGAAAUAUAAUUGUGAUAAAAUUAAAACUGCCCUAGCGGUUUAUAAAUAGGGUUAUGGUCCCCAUUCUACGACUACGCAUUCCAAUUUCUGAAAAUCCUCUCAGUGAGAAAUUGACACAAAAUCUAGUGGCUAGAAUUGGAAGACCAUCUCAAAGGGUUUUCUUCCUAUAAGGUUUCUCCUUCAAUGGAUUCAGGUAUGCUUCCGCUAUUAUUUUUUCUACUCAUUGUUUUUAAUCAGGAGAUUCCAGUAUAUAUGAAAUUAGGGUAUUCACCUUGUUAAAUAUUCCAGUAUAUAUGAAAUUAGGGUAUUCAUCUUGAUUCAUUUUAACAUGUACUUCCAUGAUAGAUGUAGCUAAUAAAUUGGGUGUUCCUUCCUAUGUGUACUUCGCCUCCAGUGCGGCCUGCCUUGCUCUCAUGUUUCAUCUUCAAACCCUCAAGGACCGCCAGGGCGUGGAUGUUACUGAGUUUGCUAACUCGGAUGCUAAGUUGGUGGUCCCGGGUUUUGUCAACUCGGUUCCUGCUCGAGUCUUGCCUGCUACGGCGGUGGACAAGGAGGGUGGCGGAUCCAUGGAUUUCCUCGAUCGGGUAAGGAGCUUUAGAGAUGCCAAGGGUAUUUUGGUAAAUACAUUUAUGGAGCUAGAAUCUCAUGUGAUUAACUCCUUUGUCGAUGGUACAACUCCUCCCAUUUACACAGUAGGGCCAUUAUUGAACUUACAACAUGCCAACAAACAAAAACAAGAUAGUGACUUGGAUGUCAUCCAAUGGCUUGAUGAUCAACCCACAUCAUCUGUGGUGUUUUUAUGUUUUGGCAGCGCUGGAGCAUUCCACAUGGAUCAAAUCAAGGAGAUUGCAAUUGGGCUUCAGAAUAGUGGGCAUCGUUUCUUGUGGACACUCCGACAACCUCCACCAAAAGGUAAGAUGGCAAUACCUAGUGAUUAUGUGAAUUUCGAGGAAGUAUUACCUGAAAGGUUCUUAGAUCGUACAUCUAAAAUUGGAAAGAUAAUUGGAUGGGCACCACAAGCAGCUGUUUUAGCUCACUCUGCAGUAGGAGGGUUUAUAUCUCAUUGUGGGUGGAAUUCUAUAUUAGAAAGCAUAUGGUAUGGUGUCCCAGUAGCUACAUGACCUAUGUAUGCAGAACAAUAAUUGAAUGCGUUUCAAAUAGUAAGAGAGUUAGAAAUGGGGGUAGAGAUUAGAUUUGAUUAUAACAUGAAUACUAGUAAUCUUGUAAGUGCUCAAGAAAUUAAGAGUAGAAUAAGGAGUUUAAUGGAUGAUAGCAACAACAUUAGAAUGAAAAGGGCAAAAAUGAAAGAAAAGUGCAUGAAGGCCUUGACAAAAGGUGGAUCUUCGGACUCUAGCAUACAACGUCUAAUUGGAGACAUGAUAACUAAUAUCUCAUGAAGUGAAUGCUAAAGCAAUGUAUUAUAAAAAAAAAGGUUCUAAGUCCUUAAAAAUGUUUGUUUCAAUUGCUUUUAAUAAUGUAAUGGUUGAGUGUCAUAGAAAAGUUGAUUAAAAAAUUAAGUUGAAAAAAAUGUAUUGUCUACUUAUUUUAAAUAAAAAUAAAAGUAGCAUAUGUUACAUCUUGUGUGACAUCUUUAUUUUAAUAUUAGAUGAUGUAUCAAAUCCAAAUUGUAUGGGAAUAUAAAUAGAUUUUAGGCUUUCUCAUCUUAUAUGUCUUGUCCUUGUAAACCCCCAUACGAAAUGAUCACGUCCCAUUGCCAUUUUCAUUCAAUUUGGUGUUUAAUUUUGUUAUUAUUAAUCGUAAGAGGUUAGUUUUACCCAUCUUCCUCACAUUUGAUUACAAAUAUUUGAAUUUUCAAUACCUAACCUUUUCCCAUGUCAUUUGGGAGUGGUUAUUAAAGGAUUAAAGUAACUUUGUCAAAGUAGUGGUUGUGAAAUGACAAAAUUUUGGUUUUAGUAAUAUAAUUUUGUAGAUUUAGAGGGUAUUUGGUAAAUUAACUUAAUAACUUAAAGUAACUUGAUAACUUAAUUUAAGUUAUUAAUUAAAUUAAGUAUGUUUUGUAAAAUAAUUUAAUGAUAUGGCUUAAAGUAAAAAACAACUUUAAGUAAUAAGCAAAAUAAUUAAAUUAUUUUUAAGUUUAUAUCCUCAUUUGACAUUUUUAUCCCCAUUUACCCUAAUUAUCUCCACAAUCUCUUUUACUAUUUCACGAUCUUCAUUGUUACUCGACUUCCAUUUCCCUAAUUAUAAUUUCUAAGAAUAAAUAUGUUAAUUUAAUUAUUUGAAAUAAAUUUUAAAUUAAUUUUAUCAAACAAUCUUAAUAAUUAAAGUAAGAAUUAAGUAAUAAGUUUUAAAUCAACAACUUAAAUAUAAUUUAACUUAAAAUCAACUUAAAUUAUUAAGUAAUAAGUAUUAAGUUUUACCAAACAUUCCCUUAGGUGGUGUUUGUAUUUUUUUUUUUACUUAAUUAUAAAUAGAAUUAAAAAACUAAAUAGCGUUUAAUAGUAUUAAGUAUUAAGUUAUUUAUUUUUAUAAUAUUUUAUUUUUAUUAAGUAUUUAAAAAUAAAGAAAAAACCAACAUAUUACUUUUUCUAUUUAGAAAAAAUUAAAUAUUUUGAUUUUUUUUACUCAAAAAAAUCUAUAAUAAGUCAUAAAAAUAGAAAAAUAACCCUCUUAGUUUAUAUUAAUUUCUUCUUUAACUUAAAUGAUUUUUUUUUUUUGUAGUUUUUUUUAGUGACUUUUAAAAAAAAAUGCAAAAAUGGACUUUUUGUGCUUAAGCUUUUCAAAUUAAUAGAUAUUUUUAUUAUUUUGUAUUUCAUAUUAAUAUAAUUAAAAAUAAAAAAUUGUUAAAAUAUCUCACGUGUAUAAAGGAAAUGAAUCAUGGGUAGAAACAAAUGGAAUUAUGCUAAAAUAUAAAUAAAUAAAUAAGAUAUUUUGGUUAUAUUGUAUUUUUUUUAUUGAUCACCAAUUUUUUAAACAAGAUCGGGAAUUGCAUUUUAGUCUCAUAGAAUGGCCCAAAAAGAUUAUGACACAUUGCAUAAUAAAUAGACAAAUGCAUUACGUGUGAGGCUGGUCCCAAAGGUGAUGGGGGUUGGGUAGAAUAGGACUUGCAUGUGACACCCAAAUAUCAUAUUCCCAAAAUCAGAAAAUAAAUUCCCGAAUCAAGGGAAACACUAUGAGAGAUAUGAGAGAUGAGAGAAUGGAGAAGAAGAAAGAGCAACGAAGGUGUUCUGCUACUACUGCGAGAGGGAGUUUAAGGACGAGAAGAUUCUUGUUCAGUACCAGAAGGCCAAGCACUUCAAGUGCCAUGUCUGCAACAAGAAGCUCUCCACCGCCUCUGGCAUGGCCAUCCACGUCCUCCAAGUCCACAAGGAAACUAUCUCCAAGAACUUUUGCUUGUCAUUUGCAAUUUUUUUUUUAAGACAAUUUCCAUUCAUGUGUGGGAUUGUUGGAAUUUAUAUUGGUGAAUGGAAAUUAGGAUUUUUUUUUUCUCAGAAGACAUGUUUCUUAAUAGACACAACUUAUUUUAAAGGAUGUGUCUUGUAUUUAAAAGACACAUCCUCUUCCAAAGGAUUUGUUUAACGUCUUAAGACACAACUAUAAACCCUCUAAUUUGUCUUCUUAGCAUAUGUGACACUAGGUGUCUUCUCAUACUCCUCUCUUGACUCGUAGACAUCCCUUAGUGGCCCAUCGACAAUUAUAUAGUUUCAUUUUCUAAACCACCUUCAGGGACCCUUUGUUGAGGUACUCAUUCGGACCUACAUUGUGACCUUGGCCAUCCUUUGUCCUUAGGUUAGAUCCCACUUAGGUUCACCUAGGCCCUCUUAGAUUUACUAAAGCCCACCUUGGCCCACCUUAACACACCUCAACCCAUGUUGGUCACUUUUAGGUAAUUCCUGCAUGACUUACGUAGUUCGCAUGAUUUGCAUUUUUAACGCUCAAAUAUACUUGAUUUUCUUAUUUAUUAAUUUUUCUAUUUAUUUAUUUAUAUUUAAUAUUAUUUUUUUAGUUAUUUGUUUAUUUUUCUUUAUUUAUUUACCUAUUUUCAUAAAAUAGCGUGUGGUUGGUUAUCUUGUCUCUUUUAUUACCAUGGGAACUCGGGUUAUACCAUGGGAAAUCAAGUUACUAUAAGAAGAGUGUAAAUGUGAAGUUGUGUUUGACUUAGGUGGUGUUUGUUUUUUUACUUAAUUCUAAAUAGAACCUUAAUACUUAAUAGUAUUAAAUAUUAGGUUGUUUGUUUUUAUAGUAUUUUAUUUUUAUUAAGUAUUAAAAGGUAAAAAAAAAUCAUUGUGUUAUUUUUUCUAUUUAGAAAAAGCCACAUAUUUUGGCUUUUUUUAUUUAGUAAAAAGUUUAUAAUAAGUCAUGAAAAAGUAAAAAAACAAACAACCUAAAUUCUAAAACUAAAUGGUUUUCAGCAAAAAGCCAAAAAAACAAACACCACCUUUAGUCUUUCUUUUUUUCCGACUCUUUGGGAAGAGUCCCAUUAGGAGUGUGCUAGUAGAGUCACAUUCCACUUACAAGUAGAGUCUCAUUCUGCUUACAAGUAAAGUCCUAUUUUGAUUACAAGUAGAGUCUCAGUGGGAUUGUGUUAGUGGCCUAUAAAAAUAGGUCACCCCUCACUCUCAAAUAAUUUUUUUUUUUCAAAGAGUUCUUCUAAAACUUCCAGCGUUUUGCUUCCCUCUCCACUCUUUCAUACAUUUAUUUGGAGGAAUUUUUUAGAACCCGAGUUGUACACGUCUCGCCUGUAGAGUGCACCUAAGGCGAGACUCACUGGUACCCUUGUGCAUUGAGUUCAUCUUCGAGAAUGGUGGAUCUAUUUCAAGGAUAGUGUUUGUCACACCUUAGCCUAUCACCGAUAAGUUUCUUGCUAUUCAUUUUGCUCUUUGUUCGUGUGUUUUGGGCUAGUCCUCUAUUUUCAUACCCUUAAAACAACAAUCAUGAAAUAGAUCCAAAUGGAAGCCUCUCUAGUUCACACUUGUCCUAACACCUCUAAGAUUGAUCCCUUCAACAGGACAUUGUUCAAGAGAUGGCAGGAAAUAGCUUUCUCUACAAUUGAUGUAGUGGACUUGGGACACAUUUUGACUGACCCAAAACCAGAAGAUGGUUCUAAAUCGUUGCCUACUUGGGAAAUUGGUAAUAAACAAGUUAGGCAUGAUAUUCUUAGUACCAUUUCUACAUAGUUGAUUCUUGUGAUAUUUGGCAUGGUAGAUUAGGACAUGUGAACUUUUCGUAUAUGAAGAAAAUGGUUGAAUUAAGUUUAAUUCCUAAGCGGUCCUUAGAAAACCUUGGAAAAUGUUAAUCAUUUGUAGAAUCUAAAACCACAAAGAUAUCUUGCAAAUCAGUAGAAAGAGAAUCAAAUCUACUAAGUUUAAUACACAGUCACUUAGGAGACCUAAAAAAUACAAUGACUAGAGGUGGUAAACAAUUCUACAUAACUUUCAUAGAUGACUACUCAAGGUAUACAAGUGUAUAUCUUUUGAGAAACCAAGAUGAAGCAAGAGAUGUUUUCAUCAAGUACAAAAAUGAAGUGGAAAAUCAACUAAGUAGGAAGAUUAAAAGGCUUAGAACUGAUAAAGAAUGAGAGUAUAAGUCCAACCCCUUUAAUUCUUUUUAUGAAGAUCAUGGGAUCAUUCAUGAAACUACUCUUCCUUAUUCCCACGAGUCUAAUGGAAUAGUGGAAAGGAAAAAAUAAAACCUUAAAAGAAAUUAUGAAUGCAAUGUUGGUAAGUUCAAGAGCAUCCUUGAACUUGUGGGGAGAAGCUAUCAUCUCUGCUUGUCAUAUUCAAAAUAGAAUACCUUACAAGAGAAUUGGUAAAACUCCUUAUGAGUUGUGGAAGGAUUAUGCACCUAAUAUAGCAUACUUGAAAGUGUGGGGGUGUUUAGCUAAAGUUCUUUUCCUUGAACCUAAAAAAUGAAAACUAGAAAAUGUUCAUUGGUUAUGCUGAGAAUAGUGUGGCAUAUAGGUUUCUUGUUACUAAGUCAAAAAAUAGUCUUGUAGAUGUCAAUACCAUAAUAGAAACAAAUAAUGCGGAUUUCUUUGAAAACAUCUUUCCCAUGAAACUAAAUAGUGAACAGCAAGUUCAGAAAAGAAGUAGAGAUGAGACUAUUGAACCUUCUAAAUUUGAACCUAGAAGGAGUAAAAAAGAUAAGAAACAAACAAACCUUAGAGAUGGUUUUUAAACCUUCCUAAUGGAUGAGGACCCUAGAUCCUUCAAAGAAGCUAUAACUUCUCCUGAUGCACCAUUCUGGAAGGAGGCCAUUAAUAGUGAAAUUGAAUCAAUCAUGUAUAACCAUACAUGGGAGUUAGUAGAUUUGCCUCCUAGUGUAAUGACUAUUGGUUAUAAGUGGAUCUUUAAAAGAAAGUUAAAACAAAAUGGGUCCAUAGAGAAGUAUAAAGCUCGUUUAGUUGCCAAAGGCUUGAACAAAGGAAUGAUGUAGAUUACUUUGACACAUUUACCCAUGUGACUAGAAUAACGCCAAUUAAAGUAUUGAUCGCUCUAGCUUCCAUUCAUAAUCUGGUGAUACACAAAUGGAUGUCAAGAUUGCAUUAUUGAAUGAGGAUUUGGAAAAGGAAAUUUAUAUAGAACAACCUGAGGGUUAUGUAGUUCCAGGGAAGGAAAAAAAGGUGUGUAGGUUGGUUAAAUCACUAUAUGGGUUAAAACAAGCUCUGAAACAGUGGCACAACAAGUUUGAGCAUGUGUUAGGAACUAAUAGAUAUUCCAUUAAUGAUGCUAAUAAAUGUAUCUAUAGCAAGUAUGAGCAUAACACAUGUGUAGUCAUUUUUCUUUAUGUUGAUGACAUGCUGAUUUUUGGAACUAGCCUAGAGGUUGUGUGUGAGACCAAGAAAUUCCUAGGUUCUAAGUUUGAUAUGAAAUACUUAGGAGAGGCAGAGGUGACUCUAGGAAUUAAAAUAACUAGAACACCUAAUGGGUUAAACCUUUCUCAAGAGCAUUAUACUGAGAAGAUCCUAAGGAAGUUUGAACACUUUGAUUGUAAACUAGUGUCAACUCCUUAUGAUCUCAACUCAUAGCUGAAGAAAAAUAGAUAACAAAAUGUUCCAUAAAUCGAGUAUGCUCAAAUCAUAAGGAGCCUAAUGUAAUAAAUGAACUGUAUAAGACUUGACAUUGCUUAUGCAAUAGGUAGAUUAAGUCAAUACACCCAAAGUCCUAAUCAGGACCAUUGGGCUUCUAUUCGUAGAGUUCUUAAGUAUUUGAAAGGCACCAUUAACUAUGGUUUGUGCUAUAAUGGAUUUCCAAGUGUCCUUGAAGGAUUUAGUGAUGCAAGUUGGAUCUCAGAUUCAGAUGAGAUGAAAUCCACUAGUGGAUAUGAUUUCAUUCUUGGUGGAAGUGCAGUUUCUUGGAAGUCUGCCAAGCAAACUUACAUUACUCCUUUACUAUGGAGACUAAAUUUAUUGCCUUAGAAAAUGCAAGUUCUAAGCUUGAGUGGCUUUAGAAACCUCUUAGCAGAUAUCCCUUUAUGGACGAGACCAGCCCCAUCUGUGUCUAUGCGUUGUGAUAGCCAAUGUACAAUUGCUAAGGAUAAAAGUAAAAUAUUUAAUGGAAAGAACGAGCAUAUAUGCCUAAGGCACAAUAUUGUGCAAGAGCUGCUUGAAAUCAGGGUUAUAUCCUUAGAAUUUGUGAGGUCGGAGUUGAAUUUGGCCGAUCCUUUAACCAAACCACUAAAUAAGAAACUAGUGGAAGAAACAUCGAGGUGGAUGGGGCUUAUGCCUAUUACAAAAGUCAAGGGUGGUGGUAACCCAACCUAUUAAAAUGGAAAUUCCAUAAAGUAUGUUCAUAUGGGUAAUAACAAAUCACUUGUUAACUUGAGGUGCUCUAUCAAAUUUAAUUAUACGAGAGUCUAUCCCUAUGGUGUAGAUAAAGUAUAUUCUUCAUUGACUAAGGUUGAGUGUUUACUCUUAAUGAAUACCAUAUUCCUUAUAGAUGGUAUGUUUAAAUGCAGAGCAUACUUUAUGGAUUCACCUAUAUGAGAGUGGAGGUGGUGUCGCUUCCUAUGAGAACUUAGGCAGGUUCUUUGGAGUUCUCAUGAAUAUCCAGGUAAGGCGCAUGGCCUAUUUGUGCCAACCCAUUAUGUACAACUCGUAGUGUAGUUGAGAAAAUCAAUGUUGAUAAAGGUCCCUUGAGUUACAUCAAGAAACAUUGGUUCAUAGAAAUUCAUUUUUCAUCAUGUUCUGUGAUUCAAUACUUAUUUGUCCUAAGACUGGUUCAUAGCCUUUGGGCACUAAUACUGAUGCAUUGAAUUAUUUUUUCCUCCAUUUUUUUCUUCCAUCACAUCUACUCUCUAUAGGGGAUUGUAUGAAAAGUGUAAAUGUGAAGUUGUGUUUGACUUAGUCUUUUAUUUUUUGUUGACUCUUUGGGAAGAGUCUCAUUGGGAGUAUGCUAGUAGAGUCCUGUUCCGCUUACAAGUAGAGUCAUGUUUUGUUUACAAGUAGAGUCCUUUUUUAUUACAAGUAGAGUCAUGUUCUGAUUACGAGUAAAGUCUUGUUAGGACUGUGUUAGUGGCCUACAAAAGCAGGUCACCCCUCACUCUCAAAUAAUUAUUUUUUUCAGAUAGUUCUUUUAAGCCUUCUAAUUUUUUGCUUCCCUCUCCACUAUUUCAUACAUCUAUCUAGAAGAAUUUUUUAGAACCCAAACUAUACAUGUCUCGCCUAUAAGGUACACCCAAUGAGAGAAUCACUAGUUGUUGAAUCCUGAAGGUAGGCCACUGCUACCCUAGUGCACCGAGUUUGUAUUCGAUGAGGGUAGAUCUAUUUCAAGGACAAUGUUUAUCACGCCUUAACCUAUUACCGAUAAGUUUCUUGUUAUUCAUUUUGUUCUUUGUUUGUGUGUUUUGGGUUAGUCCACUAUUUUCAUACCCUUAAAACAAUAGUUACUUCAUGGGAAAGAUAGGAUUAUGACUUGAAGGAAGUGAGAUGAAGAAGAUGUUGGAAGAGGAAAAGAUUUUUGGAGGAAAAUGACAAUUGUAUUCUUUAGGGAGUCGCGCCAUCAAUAUGGGAAGAUUGAGUUUCCAUUGAAAAAAACAAAGAUAAAAAAAUAUUUAAGAAAAAUGAUCAACAAAGACUGCUAAUUUGAUUUUGAGGGUCAUUUUACAAUAGACCGAACCAUCUAAUAACCCUUUUCUUCAAAAAAAAGGACAUCACCUUAUGACCAUACUAAAUCCAACAUUGCCAUUUAGACCACAAGGAUGUUUGUUUGCUAUUUGCACCAUAAAAUGAUGCAUGAAGUUGUAUCGUGCACCAUUUUGUGAGUUGCAAACCACAUUCUGGUAAGUUAAGAGUAAAUAAUCCACAUCAAAUUUUGGAAGCCAUGACAUCUGGGGGCUUAUUAAUACUUGAGAGGAACCUUUUCGACUUUCCGACAUCUUUGAUCAUUUAAUCCAAAUAAAAGUAAAAAAAUCAAAGAUAAUUAGCGAAUAAGGUUGUGAUAUGGUGCCUAAUUUCGGGUGUAAUAACCUUAAUUUUGAGUUAUAUAUCACAUUUGAUCGUCAAAGACAUGAGCAAUAGAUAACGGGGGUUUAGAUUCUUCCAUCCAUAUACCAAUGAUGGCGGUGAUGGUGAGAGGGUCUUGUGGCGCGCCGUCAAAGCCAUCCAAAAAGAAAGCUCCAACCUAGACUACAUCAUCUACACUGAUGACCAUGAUACUUCUUCUAACAGCUUGAUGGCUUGUGUCGUUCAACAUUUUGGUGGAGUUUUCAAGGUGAGGGUUGAAAAACAGGUUUGAGCGUGUUGGAAAAGAGAUUCAAAGUGUUGGGAGGAUUUUUCAAAAAAGAGAUCGCACACAAAGGAUGGUCCUCUUUCUAGUUGAGAGAACGACGAGCUGAAUUUUUUAGGAACAACAAUCAGAAUUUUUAGAAUGGUGGAUGUUCAGAAUUUUUUUUUUUUUUAUGGGAUAACGAUCAGAAUUUUUUCGAGGACAUCAAUCAAAAUUUUUGGAGAGGAAGAUGCAACAAAGAGCCAUUAUCCUAGCGCUCACCACCAAAAUUGUAGAACCAACUCACCAUUGACAACUUUUCUCUAUCUUCAUGCACAGGUUGAUCAAUUGACCAUUGGGACACUCUCUCUACGAGAAAACCAAUAGAACCAAUUGUCAUAUUCAUAUGAAAGAAGGUUGCCACAUGGAGGGGCUACCACUUUGAAACCAUUGUCGGCAUUAUUGAUGCUAAGCCAACUGGAGUUAGGUCCAUCUAGCUUCGUUGAAGUUAGAAAAACUUCUUCCCUACUUCGUGACUCUUAAAGAAUCCGUCUAGCUAUACUGGAGUUAGACAAGCUUGCUUCCUGCACAAAAGGAUGUUCGGACGGGUAGUUCAGACACGUCCCUUUGAAGCUAAAGUUAGACAAGAAUAGCUCUAACUAUUUUGUGGGAAAGAGUGAGUGUGUAUGUACACGCGUACCUUGUUCGUACUUUUUGGAGGGUUUAUAUAGAACUGAUGACACUACCACUAUAGUACUGACUAGACACUUUGACCUUCUUUUGUAAUGAUAAUUAUCCUGCGGGCGGCUGGACAAUUAUCAUAGUUAAGGGCAGUUGGCAGGUGCCAUUUGCUGACAUGUCAAGAUCUCAGACCAUGUAGCUAUCUGUCCACUCAGUCUGUCAACGUUUGGGAUUAUGUUGAGUCAUUAAUUGACAUGGACUUGUGGGCUAAAUGGAGUCUUGUUGGCUGCUCAAAUGUCAAGCGUGAAUGAUCAAGCAUGCCAGAGGUCUUUAAGACAUGACUAGACAAUUCUUGCCAUUUGGGAGUCCAGACUCCCAAUGUCACCUGGCCCUAUGGGGGAAAGGAACCCUCUCACUUCUAGUGCCAGACGAAACUUGUCUUGGUCUGGAUGGAACGAUCUGAAUAAGUUACACGUUUGUCCUAGACGGCCAAAGUGUUUGAGCUGGAAAAGGACACGUGGAAAGGGACCCCUCACAAUACCCCCUUAACCUAUCUACCUAUGUUCGAACACCGUCGAGUAGAGGUAGAAUGAGUUACCUAUCUUCUCAGGUUACUUAGGCACUUUAGAACACGUAUCACUUGAAGUAGCAAUGAUGGGUCGCAUCCAUCGAGGCUACCAUUUAGAAGGAGCGCCGCUUUGAGAUAUGUUUCCAAACAACUUGUCUUUUAGGAUUCCUAGGUUUUUGGGUCCUUAUAAAUAGAGGGCCCCCACACCCUUUGGAUUACUUUUUGGUUUUUCCCACUCUAGAGUUUUCUCUUCUUAGUUUCUGCAUCUUCAUUGUCGUUACGCUAGUUGCCGCUCAUUCUCCACUAUUCUCACCGUCAUUCUCAAGCUUGCUUCCGAUGUACUUCCUCUCGCUAGAGAGCACUUACUUUUGACUCUAGUAAGCCUCUUGUCAUUCGCUAUUUUUGUUGUUCACUGUUCAUUUUGGGACUACGUCGACGGUUGUUGAGUUUAGACCAAAAAUAGACCUCGUGGCAUCCAAAUUCUAAGGUUGUCUUAUGUCUUCAUUUUGGAGAAGAUGACUGUAUCGACCAUCAAAUCUAGGAUUUUCUAGAUUUCUCCAUUUUGCUUCCUCAUUGUUAAUACCUUCAAGGGUCGGUUUAGGCAUUUUUUGUCCUGCCACCGUCGUACUAGUAAAAAGGGAGCGUGAUCCUCCUUUUGAUUACUGGUCAAGAGGCUUGCUCUACAAGUUUCAUUAAAAGGUCUGUUUAGACUUGGACUUUUGGUCCAUCUAGGUUUUUUGUUGUAUAGUUGAGGCACUGCAAAACGGCGGAUGGGUCGGGUGACCAUUUCUAAUAACUUUGUUGUCCCACGCAGGUUUCCACGCUGCCCAAAGUUACUCAGCAUGUAGGCAAGAUGAGGUAUUGCUUCCACCAGUGGAGGUGGUAGGCCCUAGAAAGGUGGUCGGAGAGAUACUAGAGUAAAGUGCCUUAAAUCAAAACUUCUAGUUGAUCUUCUGUCCGAAUAGGAGUUUCGGGCACGCUUUCAUAUCUCAGACAAAAUUUCUAUCCACCUAGUAGACAACGAGGCUCUAUCCUCCAAAAACUAGUCCUAUAACUCGAUGUACUUCAGCAAUGAGCAAUUUGUUGUGAGGCUUCAUCUACUUCUUCCCUCAUUCUAUAAGCAAUUUCUCCACUUCACCUAGAUUCCUCUAGCUUUCCUUCAUCCAAAUGUUGUCCGGGUGUUGAUGGGAUGCAGCAUUAUGGACAUGCUCUUCUAGUUGGACCUUUCCUUAAUGGAAGUCUUGUUCAUCUAUACGGUGAAGAUGAGUCAGAAGGAAAGGUUUAGCCUGUCAUCCCACAUCAUUUCCCUCUAGCUAGUGACCGGACUUCCAAACUCAAACAAAGGUGGGACAAAGAGGCAUGUCCUUGUGUCCGGUCCUUGGAGGGAUCCAUUUGAGGGGCUAGACAGAGUCUUUACUCUAUAGCACUCGCUAGAGAUUCCAAGUAGGAUAUGCCUCUAUAACUUUUAUCUAUUCUUCACAAUUAUUUCUUCCUCACUGAGAACUUAUUGGUAAUCUUUCUUUUUGUGUAAUGCAGGCAAGGAUAGGCAAGGUCGUCUUGUAGAGUAGCUGGAUAAAGUUUCCUUCACCUGACUCAACAAGAUAUUCGAGAUAGACGCGUCUGAACGGAAUCAUCAGGUUCUUUUGUCAGACAAGAAUCUAUUAGCUUUGAUCAACGACCCUAAGCUAUUUAUUAUCCCCGUUUUCCCUCACGUGGCUUCCCUGUCUUUGGUGCCCGACGAGCACUUCGUGCUAAAGGACUUGCUCGUUUAUGAGGUUGCUCGUUUGGCAAAUUCAGAGACAAGUCAGGCCCGUCUAGAGUCACGGGAGAAAAAAUUUUUAGGAAAGGACGCUAAGGCAAGCUUCGACUACAAACCGUCCGGCCUCUAGCUCCACCAUCUGGCCUCUUGCUAAGAAUAAGAAAUGACUUAUUGUUUAGCCCAUUCAAAGGGCAUGGACUCCACCACCUGCACCUCCGACUUCUCCAUCAGCUUCAUCCUCAUCUCCUUCUUCAACUGCCAACACCGAGCCAGAGACAAGGGUUGAGCGGUGGUGGCUCCCAUUGUUUGUGAAUAUGAAGAAAAGGUAGACAUGGCUACAAACUUGAGGGCUGGAUUUCAGGAGAGGCAACACAAGCACCUGUCCGAAUCCAUCGUGGUUAACCUUGCUCCCUCGAAGAGAGCCUAUCCGAAGCCUAUCUACCAAGAACUUGUCUCGGCUCCUACCCCGAUGCCAAUGUCUUCAACUACUGCUGCAUAUACCAUUCCUGAAUUGGACGAGAGGCUUCCUUCCACUGAAGGCAUUACUUACCAUGAUCCAAGGAGGCCCUCCAUCGGUCCGGACCAUCUCAGUGAUGAGUCGCUUGAAUACAUGACUUUCUUUCCCUCCCAUCCAAAGUCAUCCUACGUUCCCAGCCGGGAGGAGAUAACUGAGUUAAUGAGGUAGACUCAUUUCUUCACUGAGAGAGAGAAUCCAAUACAAAAUAUGGGAGUGCUCUUUCUGGCCACUCAACAGAUCCCGGUCGAGAUAGAGAGCAAUCUCAAUCAAUCCUUCAUAGCAUGGCUCCCAUUUGGAACUCUAGACACUACCAUUUCUCGUAUCAUGCCCAUGCAAGACUAUACGACUUUUGAGACGACGGAAGUGGUAAGUCGUUUCCCUUUUCUGUUUAUUCUACCUUAGUCUUUGGUUUCUUAAUAAUUUUCUUGUUGCCCCUUUAGGUGAUAGCCGAGGUCUAAAACCUUAUAUGGCAAUGCGCUCAACUCUUCUACCAACUAGAAGCUGCCAAGAUCAUAAAGGCAUACAUUGCCUAUAACAUGGAUGACAAUAAGAAUCUCCACACCAGGUUGGAGACAACAAAGAGUGAGGUCACUACUACCCGAAAGCUCAUUGAGGAAAAAGUUGGGCUGUUGAGGAAGACAGAAGAAGGGAAUGAGGCAACUGAAGCUGAGGCUAGUCAGCUAGCCAAGGAGAUGGAGACGAUGGAGAUUAGCAAGAAGAAGGUCGAUGAGAAGGCUAGACGGCUGAGGUAAGGGCUACAGGAACUCCGGGCCGUGUUCGCUGUUCAAGAGGAAGAGUUGGAGGCUAAGUACCAGAAACAAGUGGACGACAUGUUCUUCUAUGGCUACAGGUGUUGUAUGAAGAAACAUGGUAUCGCCCAAGACACCCCCAGUUUCUUUUGGACGACGAGAAUGAAGCUGCAGGCAGCCCUGCCCAGGGUAGAAGAGAUGCUUUUGGAAUCAGUCCUUCUGGCAGGCAUGCUUGAUCUUGUAUUUGUACGCGUUUAUCCUAGUCGCAUGUGUCUUAGACGAAAAAACUUGUAAAGACGUUGGAUUUUCCAUAUUUUUUAAUAAAUCUAUUUUAUCCAUUUCUUUUCAUACAUUUUACUUUCAUAAACAAGUUUUAUUGAUAAUACAGCUUUAGGUUAGACACAUUCCAAGGGCAGAGUAGGGGUACAUCGUCUAGUGUUUGAAGAUGGUAUGCCCUUGAGUCUUUACCCUUAGUCACAACGUAUGGCCCUUCCCAAUUAGCCUGAAGCUUUUCGGCUCCUACUUCGACUAUGUUCUCGAAGACUCUUCUGAGGACUAGAGUUCAUGUCCUGAAAAAUCGUGGUCGCGUCUUUUUGUUGUAAUGAGAGAUCGCCCUCUAGCGGUAAGAAGCCAUCUGAGUAGCCACGUUUCCUCGUAUUUCAUCUACCCAAUCCAAAUGUUUUCCAAUUUCUUCAUCGUUAUCUCUUUAACCUUGGACGACCGUUUUGGCGGUAGGCAUGCCUAUUUGGGUUGGAAUAACGACUUCCAUUCCAUAGGCAAGGGAGAAAGGAGUAGCUCUUGUUGGCUAUCUAGAUGUGGUCUGAUAAGCCCAUAAGACUUCGAGCAGUUCGUCUACCCAUUUCCCUUUGGCUCAUUCCAAUUUUUUUUUUAGUGUAGCCAAUAGGGUUUUGUUUGUUGCCUCCGCUUUCCCGUUGCUCUAAGGAUAGCGAGGCGUUGAAUAUAGGUUCUUAAUGUUUAACUCCAAGUAGAAUGUUUGGAAGACAAUACUGUCAAAUUAUGAUCCAUUAUCUGCCACAAUCGCUCGUGGGUCUCCGAACUAGCACACGAUGUUUUUCCAAACGACCUUGGAAACAUCAUUGUCCUUGAUGUUGGCAUAGGCUUCUGCUUCUACCCACUUGAUGAAAUAGUUAGUUGCUACAAGUAGAAAUUUCUUUUACGCUGCUGCGACAGGUAAGGGGUCGAUUAUGCCCAUCCCCCACUAUGCAAACGGCCAAGGACAUGUGAGCGGGUUGAGAGCUUUAAAAGGUAUACGGGGAAUGGGGGCAUAUCUUUGACAACGAUCACAUAUCUUAACAUAGUUUCCAACAUCUUGUUUCAUGGUGGGCCAAUAGUAUCCUUACGUGUGAGCACGAUGCGCUAGGGUUCGUCCGUCUGGGUGAUUGCCACACACACCUUCAUGGAGUUCGGCCAUGACAUAUUUGGCUUUUAGAUCGCUCAAACAUCUUAGGUAUGGACCUCCAAAUGACCAUCUAUAAAUAUGGUCAUUGAUGAGAGUGAAGAUGGCAGCCUAUACACAAAGUCUGUGCGCCUACUUCCCGUUUUUCAAGUAAUUCUCCCAUCUUGAGGUAUUUCACAAUAUCCUGUAUCUAACCAAGGUCUGCCUCAUUGGCACUACAUACUGGUCCAGGUAUGAUUGAGGGUGUGGCUUGGAGUUGGACGGGCAGCAUUAUUGCUUCUCUUAUAGGGAGAGUGGCAGCUAUUCCGGCCAGGGCGUCCACCUUCAAGUUCUACUUUUAGGGUACUCGUCUAACAAUCCACUCAUCUAGAUUUUUUAGGCAAUUUUCCACCAUAGCGAGGUAGCGAGCCAUGCACUCAUCAUUUUCUUUGUACUCUUUCUGAAUUUGUCCAAUGAUUAGCUGAUAAUCGCUCCUGAUCUCUAGCCUUGUUGUAGUCAAUGUUAUGGCAAAGUCUAGCCUAGCUAGGACGGCUUCAUUUUCCGCUUCAUUGUUGGAGGCAGAAAAGUAGAGACGGAUGGCUUGCUCCAACAGUUCUUCAGUUGGUGAUUAUAGGAUCAAACUUACUUUAGAAUCGGACGCCUUGGAUGUUUCAUCUACAUGAAGUGUUCACCAUUGCUCCAGGGGACUCAACUAGAUGUGCUAGUUUUUGAGAGAGUUCGGCUAUAAAGUCGGUCAUAACUUGUCCCUUCAACGCUAACCUUGGCUGGUAUUUGAUUCCAUGUUCACUUAACUCAAUGGCCCAUUUCAACAUUCGUCCAGAUAGAUUUAGUUUGUGUAGGGUAACUCGGAGUGGCUGAUUUGUGAGCACAAUCACUUGGUGAGCCUAGAAGUACGGGCGAAGCUUCUAAGUGGCAUUUUUCAGGGCUACGGUCAUCUACUCCAUUCUAGAGUACCGAGUCUCUAUGUUGACCAUUGCUUUACUCACAUAAUAGACGGGAUUUUGCUAUUUGUCUUGUAUGUAUCGAAACAAGACAGCGCUAACUGCACAGUCAGAUACAUCCAGGUACAUAUAGAGUUGUUUAUCAUACUUGGGGCUGCUCUGAAUGGGCGGUUCAAUGAGGUUGCGCAUGACUACUUCAAAUGUCUAUUUGCAUUCAUCCGUCUAGCCGAAUGUGCUUGCUCCAUUGAGCGUGAGGAAGAAAGGCCUCAACUUGUCUGUGAAACAGGCUAUGAAAAGUUGGAAAGCGACUAGACAGCCUGUGAGGUGUUGCAACUCCUUUUUGCUACUCGGGGCAAGUGUUUCAAGGACGACUUUUAUUUUAUUCGGAUUAACUUCAAUUCCUCUUUGGGUCACCAUAAACCCUAGAAACUUUCCUACACAAACGCCAAAAGUGCACUUAGCAAGAUUAAGCUUCAUGAUGUAUGCCCGCAUCAAGCGGAAUGUUUCUUCCAGGUGCUGGACGUGUUCAUCUUGGGUUCCGUUUUCACAAUAAUGUUGUCAAUGUAGACUUCCACGAUUCAAUCGAUCAAGGGCUUAAAGAUCUUCCUUAUUAAUCUUUGAUAAGUAGCACCAACAUUCUUGGGCCUAAAUGACAUGACUUUGUAGUAGUACAACCCAUAUGGUGUAACAAAAACUGUCUUCUCCUCAUCCAGCUAGAACAUGGGAAUUUGGUGGUAUCCGGAGAAAGCGUCUAUAAAGGAAAGCAUCCCAUGCUCGACUGUGGCAUCAACUAUCUGAUCUAUUUGAGGUAACGAAAAAAUAUCCUUUGGACAUGAGUCAUUCAGGUUGGUGUAAUCAACACAAACUCACACUUCCCAUCAUUCUUUGGAAUGACCACCACAUUUGCCAACCAGUCCGGAUACUUGACUUCUCUGAUAAACCCGACCACUAGCAACUUGUCAAUCUCCGCCUGGAUGAUUUUCUGCCUAUCCGGAUGGAAGCGUCGAACCUUUUGUUGGACGGGAUGUGAAGAAGGUAUGACAUUGAGCCUAUGAGAGGCCAUAGAUGGAUGGAUUCCCGGCAUAUCAGAGUGAGUCCAAGCGAAGACAUCUUUGUUCCAUUGAAACACGCUUUCGAGCAGUUCUAAUUCAACCGAUGUGAGCAAGGAGCUAGUAUAGGUGAUUUUACCUGUGUCAUGUGAGAGGCUCAGUGGUUGGAGUGGAUCAGCUGCAGAUGGAUCAUUCUCCACCGAGUUCAAUAAUUGCUAUUGCUCUCUUGUAUUUGAUAAUUUUGGAUGUGCCUCUUCACUAGCUGGGUGUUCAGAAUCUAAUGCACCAAUGAGCUAGCUGGUUGCCAAAAAGGUUAAUUUGUCCAUUCUCAAUGAGGUAGCUCACCAUUUGAUCAUACGUAGAGGGAACGACUUUCAUUCUAUGAAGCCAUGCACAUCCCAUGAUGGCGUUGAAAUGGGACAAAUCCUCGACCACUGAGAAUUGUAUGUUCAGGGUGAUUGAGCUAACCUAGACAGGGAAUACAAUGUUACCCUAAGAAGUCAUCGUGGCUCCAUUAAACCUGGAUAGUAAUCGCCCUAGAUUCUCUAGGGCAGAGAGUGAGUAGUCCAUCUACUUGUAAGCUGACAUUUGUAAGAGGUCAGUUGAGUUACUUGGAUCGAUCAGAACCCUUCUCACGUCGAACCCACUUAUUCCUAGUGUUAGGACUAAGGCAUCUUCAUGUGGUUGCAAUACUUGACUAGCCUUUACAAAAGGAAAGGUUACUAUGCCGUCGACGGGGCGCAUAUUUCCUUCCAGAAAGUUGUGUUGAAAGGUGCUAAUUCUCUAUCUUAUAGAGGUUGUACAAAGCAACCUUUGCCUUUUUUGUUUAAAACUAUAUUUUUCGUCAAUGGGGCCUCCGUGGAUGUAAUUAAUGAUAGCUCUAGGAGUUGUUGAAGAUGUGGGGGCUUGGACGGCUAGGUCUUAGGUCGUCUCUCUUUGCCUGCCAAUUGCACCAACAUAUUGUUUCAGGUGUUCGACCAUGAUUAGUUUUUUCACCAAGUAGUGGAGACUUCAGCAUUGUUCAAUGGUAUGGUCGUGAUCUUUAUGAUAAGCACACAUUUUGCUCCAAUCUUAUUUAGCCGGAUCUAUCUUGAUCGAUUCUGGUCACCUGAAGUCAGACAGAUUGUAGAUCAUCAGGAGGAGUUUCUCAUAUGGGAUAUUGAAGAGGGUCAAACUAGUAUGAUUCUACUACUGUUGGCCAUCUCGCCUCUUGUUAGCUUGCUUCAAUUGUUUUAAGGGCUUAGAACUUCCUGUCUGGUCAUGCCUGGUCGAACGAUUGGUGACCAAGACUUACUGAGUAGCCGCCCGGACGUCAUCUUCAAGCAUGGAGUACUUAUUUGCUCGUUUGAACAAAUCGUCCAUCGUUGUCGGUGGCUUCUUUGCGAGAGACUCAAAGAAUGGUGUGCCUGGACAUAUGCUUGACUUGAAGAUCUGUAGGAUGGCGUCCAUGUUGCAGGAUUCCACCUCGAGAACAGCCUAUCCGAACCAUUUGAUGAAGUCUAUGAGUGACUCGUUUUCCUACAUCUUGAUGUUUUGUAGAGUGUUUAUUUUUUUCUUAUGAUGAGUUGAAUAUAAGUAGUGGCCCAUAAAGGCCUCCGAUAAAUCCCGAAAAUUGUUCACGAAAUUAUUUGGGAGACGGUGGAACCAAGAGAGAGUCUAGUCGUGUAGGCUGGCUGGAAAGAAUUUGCACAACAAUGCAUCAUUCCUUAUGUCCAAAGUCAUGAGCUGCCUGAAGUGCAUGAUGUGAUUGAACGGAUCACUUAUUCUGUUGUAUAUCGUGAAUUUUGGCACUAUGAACCCCCUUGAGGGCUCAUAGUUAAUAAUGUGAAGGUCGAAUGGCAUAGAGAUCAUGUCAUCUAACCGUCGACUACCAAAGUCGGGUGUGGCUCGAUUUGCGGGGGAUCCUCCUUAUUACUGCCUAAGUAGAUGAGAAGGCGACUCCAACAUAAUUGUUGCUACUGAGGGACUUAGACGGGCCUCCAGGGUUUCUACCAUGUCUGGUUUUCCCUCUAUGCCUGGCGUUUGAGGUCUCAAUCGGGCUCGCAUUACAUCUGAUAGACGUGACUAUUUGUCGCACCUCUUCUUUACUGAUACCUAGUUGAGUAGGUGUUUUCGUCCAACUACACCUAGCGAGCUGAUGAAAACUCCUCCUCAAACCAUGUCAUAUGAUGCCAAAUGGGAAAUCUGCAUUCCCGGGAAAAAAUGUCUCAUCAGUACGUCUUGAGGCUGUUCACUAGCUUUGCAGUUUGUCGACUUUGAGAGGGGCCCGCUAAUGACAUUGGGACAUGCAACUCUUCACUCUCUUCUUUGAGUCGCCUUGUUUGGUGAAGCAAAGACUGUAUCUACCGAUCACUCUCUCGUUGGAGUAUUUCCAUACUUACAUGCCAGGCAAAGUAGCUUUCGCUACCCAUAGCUGAUGAUCAGCUUCUAGAGAGUGUUAACUUCCUUAGUCGUUCCCAAAAACGGUGCCAAUGUUGAUGCUAAGCCAACUAGAGUUAGGUUCAUCUAGCUUCACUAAAGUUAGACAAACUUCUGCCCUACUUUGUGCCUCUUGAAGAAUCCAUCUAGCUAUACUGGAGCCAGACGGGUUUGCUUCCUACAUAAAAUGAUGUCCAGAAGGGUAGUCCAAGCACGCCCCUCCGAAGCUUAAGUUAGACAAGAGUAGCUCUAACUAUUUUGUGGGAAAGAGAGAGCGUAUGUACGCGUGUACCUUGUUUGUGCUUUUUGGAGGGUUUAUAUAGAGCUAAUGACACUACCACUAUAGUGCUGACUAGACACUCUGACAUUCUUCUAUAAUGAUGAUUGUCCUGCAGGCGGCUGGGCAAUCAUCACAAUUAAAGGUGGCUGGUGAUUCGUGCCCAACUGGUGUACUCUUGAUUCAGUCCUCAGACGAGAGUUAUCAACAAAAUUUAUAAGCUUAUUUCACCAUAUACUAGGGUAGCAUAGCAUAGUGGUUCUAGGAUCAUUCACUGGGAUGGGUUUUCAUUUCACACCUGAUAUUAGUUUAAAGAAUUGGAUUGGUGCUUUUUCUUUUCCAAGUUAGCUUUAAAAGAAAACAUAAUCUUUGGUUUGGAAAAUGUUGGUUUUAAGCUAACAAAAAAAAAUAGUAAUUGAUUUUAAUUACAAAGAAAAAGGUUUCUUGGAGUUUGAGGUCACUAGAUUCAGGCCCCUUAUACAAAAGUGGAGAUUCCGGAUCUUUCCUCGUAUUAGGGAUUUAACCUAUAGUUAUUCUCCCAAUUGGUGUGUUAUAGUUGCUUUCCAUUGAUGGUUUCAACGCUAAAUCCCUCUCACUGAUGCAUCUUACAAUGGCUCGUACCUCUCACCUAGCAUUUGCCAUUCAAGGUGAUCCUUAAGCUUGGAUUACCCUUCAAAAGCUGGCAAGAGAUAACUAAUGGAUGUCUCCUUAGAGUCCAAAAGCUUACCAAGUGUUGGCUAUUCUAGAAAAUCCUACCUUUAAACAACCUACCAGAGGCUCGCAAGAGAUAAACUAGUGUAACUCAAUGGACGGAGUCCACUUGCUGAUUACUACCAAAAAGUGCUAUUUUGUAGACCUAACUAUAAUGGUUUUAAGCACCUUUGAGUAGUAAUCAUAUUCAUUUAACCCAAUUAAUUCAUUAAGGUCCUUAGUAAUUGGUUUUAACCAUUUUGUGGCAAGUUUACAUGUUUUUAUCAGCUUAUGAAUCAAUUCAAGCAUGCCAAAUGAUGGAGGAGCUACUUGGACAAGUUAUGGUAAAGCUUUUGGAAGCUCAAAUUCAUGAAGAACCAAGCUUUGGAGCUCCAUAGCCCUUUGCCAAAGUCGUUCAAAGUAUGCAAGGAAAGAACAAUGGAAAAGAGGAAAAGCAAGCAAAGUGAAGAGAAGCAAAGAGGACAGCAGCUGCAGUAUUCUUUCACACUUUUGGAGCACUUCCUGAAGUCCAUUUUUUACAUGCUAUAUACCAUUUCAAAGCUCUGGAAGUCAAGAAUCCAACUCUUCAAACCGUGUAUGAUUUGGAGCUGAAAUGAGGAAGAUAUGGCCUUCGGAAGCCAACUGCUCUAGGUUGUACGAAAAUUUCGCACGACACAAGGUGUUAUGCGAAAUUCGCACGACACAAGGUGUUAUGCGAAAUUCGCAUAACACCUUCAAAAUUCACAUAACCCAUGCGUGGUGCGAAUUUUCCUCUGUUUUUGCCAACUCCACUUUAGAUAUUUUCCUUUGUAUUUUGUGAUGUAAUUUCCUUUCUUAUCCUUGUAACUAACCAAUCACAAGUUUUUGCUUUUGUAAAGACUAUAUAAGGGGUGGAAAUCACCUCUUGGAAAAUAUAUAGAACAUAGGUUACGUUUUACACUUAGAGAAAUAUACAGAGCUCUCUCGUUUCUCUUUUCUCUUUACUAUUUUAUUUUCUUGGAAGCCAAACAGCCUCUGAGGGCUUUUCCUCAGAGGAUGAUUGGCUAAAACUUUUAGUUUCUCAAAGUAUGGAUGUUAUGUGAUAGCUUGGAUGCAAUCCCAUGGAAAUUUCUCGCACCUAGAAGGUAAGGUAGACGUUUUUCAUUAAAGGUUCAUUAAUGCAAAGUUUGGUUUUUAUUUCCUUUGGACAACUUCCAACAGCCAAUACUUGAUAAGCUUUUGGAUUUCUAUCCAUUAGUUAUCUCCUACGAGUUAUUGGAAGGUGAGGUUUUCAAUUCCAAGUUUUGCAUUAAUCCAUUAGAACCAAUUUCAAUGGCCAUUGAAAGGUGAGUUUAUCACCUGGAAUGACUUUGAGUUGCCAAUAUUUGGUAAGCUUUUGGCUUUAGACCAUUAGUAAUCUCUUACGAGCCAUUCAAAGGAAGUCUAAGGUGAAUAACCAUUGAUGAAAUUCACUACCAUCUGUUUUGCCAUUUUAAAGGAUUAAAACUUGAUUUGCUAAAUCCAUACCGGUUCGGGAAGCAAGCAUCACCAUAGUUGCAACCCCAACGCGAGGAGCCUAUCCUGAGAUUUCCAAUUUGCAUAAGAGCCAGAGCAUAGCUAUCCUAUCUUUGAGAAACUUGUUUUUACACCCUUUCAUUUUAGUCUUUAAUGUUAGCUUAGAUUAGUUUAAAUCUUUCUAAAACAUUUACAUCUUCUUUUAAAGCUAACAUCCAUAAGAAAAUCACCUAUUUUCCUAAUUUGAAUAUCACUUAUGUUUGCGAAAACUCUUCCCAGUGAACGAUCCUAGAACCACUAUGCUAUAGUAGCUUGGCUACUUUAGUAAUAGUAUUUAAGGUAUAAAUUUUGUUGAUACGCCUUUAAAGCUAAGCUACCAUGAGUCGAAUCACUUGCUUUACCAAGUGUUGGCCCAGGUGAUUUUAAGUCAUUUUAAGUUAACUAAAAAUAUAAAAAUCAUUAACGGGUCACAACUUCCUCUUCAUUAAAAACUAAAAAAAGGAAAACUCCCACUUUUGUAGUCGGGUCCCUUACCUAGCUCCCUUCCGUCCAAGAGACAAAAAGUCUAACCUCUCAUCCUCUAAGAAAAUAUCUUUAGAGGUUGUUUGGUUAGAAAGAAAAAUACAAUCAAAACGAGUAGGUAAGGUAGAGCAACGCUCUGUAUAUUUCUUACUAAAACAUGUCAAGUGAUCCUCCUCUCCAAUGUCUUCCCCUCUUCAAAGAGACGAGAGAUAUCAAAGAUAUAUGAGAGAUAUAUUACAAGGAGAUAUCUUAGGAUAUAUAUAAAGAGAUAUUUUCAACCUCUUGAUUAGAUAUCCUAAAUAUCUUAAAAGAUCUUCAACUGAUUACAAGGAGAGAAUUUAUAAUUACACCAAAUAUCUUAAGGUAAAAAUCUAACGAAGUCGGUGUAAAAUAUCUAAAUAUUACAUUUUCGCAUCGGAGAAAAGUGAUGCAAAAAUUUUUGCAUCGAAGAAAGGCAGUGUGAAAAUUUUCGCAUUAGAGAAAGUUAGUGCGAAAAGUUUCACAUCGGGGAAAGUCAGUGCAAAAAUUUUCGCAUCAGGGAAUGUCAGUGCGAAAUUCCUUUUUAGCUUUAUGCAGUUGCCUUCAAAUGGUCAUAACUUCUUCGUUUUAGCUUCGAUUUGCACACCGUUUGAAGCAUUGGACUCCUGACUUCCCAAGAUUCGAAAUAAUAUAUAGUAUAUAGACAAUAAACUCCAAGAAGUGCUCCAAAUUUUCCUUGAAACUGCUGCUCUUUUGAAUUUUGCAUAACAUGUGAAGAUUUCGCAUUACCAUGUGAAAUUGCUUCAUGAUGGAUUUAUUUCUCUAAUCCUCUUCCUUUCAUCUCUUGAUUUUCUUGGAAGCUCAUUCCCAAGGGUUGCACAAAAUUCUCCCUCAUUCUUGGCUUGCUUCAAUGAUAAAAAAGCUACCAAAAACACCAAAACUAGCCAAAAAUUGAUUAAAAACAUUUGCAAGGUUCCUUAACUUGCCAAUUGAGUUAAAAGGUAUUAAUUACUACUCAAAAGUGUUUAAAAUAGUUUAUAACAAGCUAUAAAAAAUGCACUUUUUGAGUAGUAAUCAGCUGGCAAGUGCCAUCUGCUGACGUGCCAAGAUCUUGGAUCGUGUAGUUGUCUGUCCCCUCAACCUGUCGACGUCUGAGAUUAUAUGCAGCAAUUAAUUAACAUGGACUUGUGGGCUAAAUGGAGUCUCGUAGGCCACUCAAAAUGUCAAGCGUGAAUGAUCACGCAUGCCAUAGAUCUUUAAGACUUGAUGGGACAGUUCUUCCCGUUUGGGAGUCCGAACUCCCAAUGCCGUUUGGCCUUGUGAGGGAAAGGAACCCUCUCACUUUUGGUGCCAGACGGAACUUGUCUUGGUCUGGAUGGAAUGAUCCGGAUGGAUUACAUACUUGUCCUAGACGACUAGAGUAUCUAAGCUGGAAAGGGACACGUGAAGGGGGACCCCCCAUAGGCAUUUCUUCAUCACAAAGGAGCUUCAACAUGUACCGCUUCAUGGGAACACCCAUAGGUGAGUUUUUAUUUUUAUUUUAUAGGAAACUUUGGUAUUUGGAUCCAUGAGGGUCAUAUAUGUAGUGGAAGAUUGACAAUUGUUUUUUUUUUUUAAUAUAAUAUAGAGUCAUGAAUGUUUGGAAGCUAGUGCCUUGGCUUUUUUUAGAGAAAAAAAAAAAGUAAGAUUGCUGUAUAUACACAUGGCCAUCCAUGCGAUGUUUCAAGUGUGUUAGUAGUUUGUUUCAUUGAAUUAAAAAUUAAAGUGAAUGUGGUGGGUCAUGUUGUUAUUGGUUUACAUUCUUAUAAAUUUAAAAUGAAACAAAUGAAAACUAAUAUCCAUGUAGCUUUAUAAUAUUCAUAAAAAUUUAUUUAUUUAUUUAUUUAUUCAUUUUUAUAAAUUUAUUUGUUUCAAAUUUUGAAUAUCCAUGUUAGUUUAUACUUUUCAUAAAAUCAUUUUUUGUUAAUUUUAAAUAUCUAUGUUAAUUUAUAUUGCUCCUUGAACUUUUAGUUUGUAAUUUUGGUCAAUCCAUGUUAAUUUGUGUUUUCCUUAAAAUUAUUAAUCGUUAUUUUCGUUGAUCCAUGUUAAUUUUUUGUGGUCCUUUGAAUUUUUAGUUUUUAAUUUGAUGGCCUAUGUUAAUUUUUAUAUACCUCUGAGCUUUUAGUUGAUGAUUUUAAUAACCUAUGUUAGUAUAUAUUGCUUCUUGAAUUUUUAGUUUUUGGUUUUGGUUGAUCCAUGUUGAUUUAUAUUGCUCCUUGAAUUAUUAAUUAAUAUUUUGGUUGAUCCAUGUUGUUCAAUAGUUUUCUUUAAAUCUUAGGGUUUUAGUUUUUAUUUACCUCUUAUUAGUUUGUGAUUUAAAUAUCCUUAGAUGUUAGUUUUUAUUAUUUUCCAAUUAUUCAUUCUUAUUGAACCUAAAUUAGUUCAUGUUUUUAUUAUCUCUAGCAUUAGUUUGGUUGUUCCUCAUUAAUUUAGGUUUUAAUAUCCCUAGUUGUUGACUUUUUUUUAAUAUUUCAUGUUAGUAUAUAUUCUUAAUAAUUUUAGGGUUGGUUUCCAUUAAUUUAUUUUCUCAUGUUUUGAUAUUCUAGUUGUCAUUUUUCAAUAUUUCAUGUUAGUACAUGUUCUUAAUAUUUUAAGGAGUAGUUUUCACUUAUUUAAUAUCUCGUGUUUCAAUAUUUCAUACUUACUAGUUUUCGAUAUUUGAUUGUUAGUGCAUGUUCUUAACAUCUCUAGGCUUAGAUGCCAUUGAUCUUGUUAUUCCGUUAUUCUUAAAAUUUAUUGUUGGUAGUUUGAUGUUAGUUUUAUAAACUAGAUGUUAGUAUAUAUUUUUAUUUUUUAUUCUUUUUUAUGUUCAGUUUCCUUUACCCUUGAUGCAAUUAAUUUAUGUUAGUUUAAAAUUGUUUUUAUCAUUGUUAUUAUUAUUAUUGUUGUUGUUGUUGUUGUUGUUGUUAUUAUUAUUAUUAUUAUUAUUAUUAUUAUUAUUAUUAUUUGUUAACCCAUAUUGAUUUUUUUGUUGUCCUUUGAUCUUUUAAUCUUAGGUAUUGAUAAUCCAUGUCAUUUGAGUAUUAUUAGAUCAUUUUCAUGCUAUGAGAGUUCUCAUCUUUAAAAUUUUGGUAGUUUUAAGGUGUUAAAUAUUCUUAGUAUUAUUCAUGAUAAUUUUAUGUUAAAUAAUUUUUCUUAAAUGGCAGUAAAUUAGUUUCAGGAUGAUUUUUGGUUAUUUGUUUGAUAUUAGUUAGAUUCAUGUUAUUUAGAUUAUUUGCAUGCCAUUAAAAGUCUUAUCCCUUAUAGUUUAUUAAUUCUUAGGUUUUAAUCUUCUUGUUUUAGUUUCAUGUCAUUCGAUAAUUUUCCAUGAUAUUGAAAGUUCUCAUCUUAGAAAUUUAGUAGUUUUUAGGUUUUGGAUCCUCUUGUUAUUAUUCAUGUAUUUUGAUUGUGUUAUUGUAUUAAACGUUGUCUUUUUUGGAAACUCGGUAGUCUUAGGAUUUCGAUCCUCCAAUUAUUAUUCAUGCAAUUUGUUUGUGUUAUGAAUUAAAAAUUUUAUCUUGGAAAGUUUAGAAGUUCUUAGGACUUAGCCUCAUUCUUAUUUUAGAUUCAUGUUAUUUAUUUAUAUUCAUGCUAUUUAGAAAUAUGGUUGCUCAUCUUUUAAAGCUCGUUUUUCUUUUAAGACGUAGUUUCUUGUUACCACUCAUGGUAUUUAAUUAUUUAUUUAUUUUGAAAGCAUAUUGGCUUGUUUGGGACUCGAAUCUCCUUAUUAAAAUUCUUGUUUGAUCUUUUAUAUUUGAAAGCAUGUUAUUUUUUUGUGAUUUAGUUAAAAUUCAUGAUGUUAAUUGUUUAUCUUUCAAAGAUUGAUUUUUAGAAAAGGAUUUUUAAAAAUUGACAUUUUGAAUUAAGUCAAAAUCACUUCUUUUCUUUCAAAAAAUGAAUUUUUCCCCAUAAAUGAUGUGGCUCCUUGAUCCCAAAUGAAAGGUAGCCAAUAAGGCAAUGCAUGUUGAUAAUUCUUUUGUUUUCAAAUCCCUUUUAAAUUAGAAAUAAAAUAAAGUAAAAUAAAAACUUCAUUUUGUGUCCAAUGUUUUGGAUUCAUCAAAUCACAUGGUUUCUUUUGCUUUCCUAAAAUCAUUCUCAAACGAAUUUAAAUCUUUUUUUAAAAAAAAAAAAAUCUAUUCUGGGUUUUUAAGGCUAAGAUCUCACUUUGUUUUAAACAAAAAAAUAUAUAUGUAACUUAGUUUUAUCCAGAUUGCAUUCCUUUUUCUUAGUUUUCUAAAACUUUAUUUUCUUAACAUAGAUUUAAACUUGUGCUCCCAAGCUAGUAGGAAUACACGGGUGAAUCUUAUGAAUAUUAAUUGGGGAUUCGAUGGGACCCCAACAUAAAAGAAUAUUUUCAAAACUUAUUUUUGUUGCCACUUUUUCUACUUGUUAUAAUCAUAGCCGUCAAUUUUUUAGGAAUAAUAUGCAAGAUGUAUGUGAAAAUUGAUGACUUUGUAUACUCUAAUCAUUUUUGUUAUGCUAUUUAGAUACCAAGCAUCCUAGGAUUUCUUUCUUUUAUUAUUUAUUACUAGAAUUUUGAUCUAACCUUCCAUGUCCUAUGAAAGCGCAUUAUAAGUUAUCUAUGUUAUUCAGGUACUCAUCUUACCUUCGCAUUUUAAUUCCAUAAAUUAUGUAUUGCUUUAUAUAUGAUCAUUACGUAUUGCUACGUAUGUGAUUGUCAUGUUUAGCUUAUUUUUUUUAUUGUUUGUUUGGUUUGUCAUGUUUGAUUAAGAGACUAGGGUAAAAUGCAUGAUGUGUGUUUAUUUUCUAAACUGACCAUUGAUGUCUUGUGAUAGUGCUUAAGUUGCGAUUCAGGCAUGCAAUACAAUCCUUUCUUUAUGAUUGUGUUUUGAAUUCCUGUUUGGCUUGUAAGUGUUGAUAGAUUUUAAAAAUCACCUUAAUCCAUCUAAGUAUCCAUAAUCAACUGACUAAUUGUCAUAUUUCCAUCAACUUAGCUAGUAGAGACCUCUUUAAGGCUUAAAGGGAUGCUACCUCUUUGGAGGUACCUUCCCAAUAGGUAACCUAAUCCCCAAACCCAGACUCGAGUUUUUCGUAGAUAACUUUUUCAAAAGCUAGGAGUCAUUUUAAGGGUUUUGUUCUUACUUGAUUUCCCCUUUUAAAAUUAAAUAAAUAAAAGUAAGUUGUGACUUUAGUUUUUUUUUUUUUUUCGUAAAAUGCAAUGUUUCCGUAAACAAAAGUGAGUCUCGCCAAUCGAGUGGGGAUGUAUUGUGAAAAAUGUGGGUCCACAACAACCCUUCAAGGAAUGUGUCUAGUAUUUUAAAGACAUUUCUUCUAAAGGUCACCUUCAAAUCUAUAAACAAACAUCUCUUCUGAAUGAAUAUUCAUCCAUUCUCUCCAAUCUCUCUUUUAUUGUCAUUCAAGUCCUCCUUAGCUUCAAGUCUAGUCAUUUCUCUUUUUUUUUUACCAAAUAUUUGGUAUACAAGUGAGUACAAAUCACCAAGUGAUUCACCAUUUUUUUGUGAUUUGAAGUGUUACUAUCGCAAAAAAGUGACCAUUGUAUCUUGGGAGACAAUUGUCAAUAAACCAUAAGCACCUGAACGGGAAAAAUUCAUCUUAAGGACAUAGAGUCAAACUUUAGCCUCGAUCAACCUUAUUUGUGAGUUUCAAUUUCCUACUUAUUUUAUUUAUUUGUAUAUCUACUAUACACACUUAUUAUCCAUAUAUUUUCAGUGAUUGGACUACAACUUUUAAUCGUAAAUAGAGAUUUCUUCUCCAAAUAGGAUUUUAGGAGAAGAAAUUAUGUUUAUGGAAAAGUUUUUACUAUAAAAAAUCAAAUUUAAUGUAGUAGAUCUUGACUUAUCAUGUUUGAAAGUCUAUGAUUAUUGAUAAAAAAAAAAAAUUAAUGUUAUUUUUCUUUUAAUUACAAGUCUGUUAUAUAUAAAAAAGUUAAUAUUUAAGUAUAAAACCUUUUAGAAAUGUAACUCAACUCUAUUUAUGGAAUAAUUUUAAAUUUUCCUUUUAGCGAAAGUUGAAAUAAACAUAAAAUAACUACUUUUAUUAUAAGUUGAUUUUAUGUUUGGAAUAGAAUGCUUUUAUUAUAAAUAAAGAAUAAUUAAGAUAUUUUAAAAUUUUAGUUAAAUAAAACUUGUUGAAUACACAAAUAUUUUCUCUCUUUACACCCAUCUUAUUUUAAUUUUAUUUUUUUUAUAGUAAAAAUGUGAAUGUCUUUUUCUUCAUCAUCCUUUUGAUGCUCAUGUCUCAAAUCUUAAUUAGCUUUCUUAUUCACUUUUCUUCCCCUUUCCUUUAUUUUAUUUCAAUUUUCUUUUAACUAAAAUAGAAAAACAACUAAAAAAUAAUAAUAGUUGGCGUGCAACCAUGACUAUUGUCGGUAUAGAUAGAAAAGAAUUGGUGGAUUAAAUAACCACUAAAUUAAUCAUCAAAACUUUAACUUUUUAACUCAAUAAAAUUUAGACUUGACAAACAAUGGGUCAUACACAUUGAACAAAUGUUAUGCAAUUCAAAAAGUGAUAUAUGGCAAAAUUUGAAAGGCCACAAAAUCAAAUCUUGUAAAAUAAAAAUAAAAUAAAAUGAUUAAAGUAAAAAAGAGAAUUAGAAAAAGAUACUCUCUUGUUAGUAAAUUUCUGAAAUGAAAGAAACAAAUUGCUUAAUUGAAGUCAAAAGAGAAUUGUAAAGAAAUAUUCUCUCGUUGAUAAAUUUUUUAAAUGAGGGGACACAAAUUGCUAAAUCAAUCAAUCAAAUCCCUUAAAUUGAGUAAUCAACUAUUGGGGAUUCCAAAUUUAAUAUCUUAACUUCACCUAUAAAUAAAUAUCAACUCCUUCAAUAUAGGGGAUUAAAAAAAUAAAUAAAUAAAUAAAUUUAAGAAGAAGACAGAGAAAAAAGGAUUCUCAAGGAGAAAAAUGUUUCACAAUAUGCCCCCUACAAGUCCAAAAAAAGCACAUGAAAAACUACAUACAUACUUUUCACCAUUCUCAAAGUUCAAUAAAGUCAUUUAGAAACAAACUAUGUAAGACUCUCAAUUGAACUUUAAUUUCAAAGAAAUACUUACAUCGUCAUUCACUAGAUUAUGAUUAAAACAAUCAAAUCAAAGGAAAAUUUUCUUUACAAAGAAUAUUAUAAUGGAGAAUUAUACCUCAUAAUUUUUCUAAUUAGGAAAAUUUAGGUAGGUGUAUUUAACAACUCAUUCAAAAAUAAAUUUUAUCCCUAAAAAAUUAAUAUACAUUUAUAGGAGCACUAAGUGACAAAAUUCGAAACUAAUGGAGAUUUAAUGCAAUUUUAUGAAGAUUAGACUGAACGAGGACCGGAUUGGUCUAGUUCACCACAUCAAGCCAAAAAUGAGUUGAAUCGACAUUAAAUCGGUCCAACCACUAGGUGAGUUAGCUCAGCCAAUUCAAGAGCUACACUUUACUCCCUUUUUUCUUUUCCAAAACUCACCUAACGGUCCAACACAUAUAAGCCCAUAGUUAAUUUGCAUGAAUGACAAGUUUAUAUAGUCUACUUUUGCUUCAUGCUUUUUCAAUGUAGAAUCAAGUGAAUUUUUGUUUUUCGAGACUAAAUGUCAUGACCAUGGGAUUUGAACAAAAGAUGGAACACCCAAGUUAUCCUUACAUGUUUGCAAAGAAAAGCAUUUGAAAGUGAUUGCUACUCAAAAAGUGCUAUUUGAUAGCCUGUAAUUAACUCUUUUAAACACUUUUGAGUAGUAGUUAUCACCUUUGAACCCAAUUAACAUAUUAAGGACCCUUGCAAUCAAUUCUAAUCAAAUUGUGUUAAGUUUUGGUGUUUUGAUAGCUUUUUUAUCACCAAAGCAAUCCGUGAUUAAGGAGAGUUCUUUGGAAUCCAUAGCAAAGCAAUGGAAAGCUCAUAAACAUGAAGAACCGAAGCUUUGAAGUCCUUUUCCAUAAGCAGAUUCGGAACGCAAUGAGUAAAAGAUGUCCGGACAGGAUGGCAGCGGAAGUCAAUGAUCCGGACAACAUAUCCGGAUAGGAUAUGUUAUCGUCCGGGUAUGAUGUUCACGAGUGCCGUGUGCUUUUCCCUGAGGGAGUCCGGAUAAGGGGAGCGCGCCACAUGUCCUCUUGGGGAAUUCGGAUGGUGUUGAUCCGGAUAGCCUUGCGCUCUCCAUGUCAUCCGAGAGAGGGGUCCACUUACGCAACAUAGCUCAUUCCACCCGGGGAAGAAUUCUAUCCGGCCGACUUUCCACCUUCUCCGGACAUUUCAUAUCCAGAAUUCCGUGCGCCGACAUUUUACAUCCGGAUGUGAGCCGUGCGCCGACAUUUUGCAUCCGGAUGGGAGAGGAGGACGUUUCAGCUUCUCCGGUCAGACAUAUCCGGAUCCACUGAUAGCACUUACCAAGAGAGUUUUUCUCUCAGUAUACAGUGCCACGGUGUUCUCCUGAAGCUUCCUGAUAUUUCCGACCGACAUCCUGAGAUAUUUUGCUUUAGAUAUUUGUUAUCUAAAUCCCCAAACUCUCCUUGUAAUCCACCUAUCAUAGGAUUCCUUAGUCUUUAAGUAAGAACAAAGGGGUGAAUAACCUCAUAUAUAUAGUUUGUAAUUUUCUUUACAGAGGAUAAUUAUGUAAUCGACGGAAGAAAGAAAUAUAUUUCAUAGAGCACUUGCUCUGUUUUUCCUUCAUAUAAUUGUUUUCUCGUUAGUUUUCUUAUUAGACAAACAAGCUUUGAGGAAGUUUCCUCAGAGAAUGAGUGGCUAGACUUUUAGUUCCUUGGAGUUAAGGUUGCCAGGAAAGGUUCCAAGUGCAAGAAUUAGUAGCUUUGUGGUUUCAGUCAUUAAUGAAGAGAAAGUGUGAUCCUUUAAUGAUUUCUAUGUUUUUAGUUAACUUAAAACACCUUCAAGUCACUUGAGCCAACACUUGGUAAGGCACGUGAUCUCCGUCCAUGGAGAUGCACUAGUUUACCUCUUGCGAGCUUUUGGGAAGUGACUUGAAGGUAGGAUUUUCUAGAAUUGCCAACACUUGGUAAGCUUUUGGACUCCAAGGAGACAUCCAUUAGUUAUCUCUUGCGAGCUUGAGAAGGGAAGUCCAAAGUUAAAGAUCACCUUGAAUGGAAAAUUCUAGGUGAGAGGCACGAGCCAUUGCAAGUUGCAUCAGUGAGAAGGAAUUAGAGCUGAAAUCCAUUUAAAGGAUACAUCUGUACAGCACCGGUUAGAGAAUUGACUAUAUGUUAAUUCUCUAAUGCGAGGAAAUGAACCAAAUGACCAGAGCUCUGUUUUUGCAUAAGGAACCUCCCCUGUGAACCUAAACCUCCAAGGAAUGUUUUUCUUCAUAAGUAAUUUCCAUUACUUUCUUUUCAGUUAGCUUUAAACAAAACCUCAUUUAAACAAAGUUUGUGUUUUAUUUCUUAAGCUAACCUUGAAAUGAAAAAGCACCAAUUUACUUUGAAUUGGUAUCACUUGUGAGUUGAAAACCCUUCCCAGUGAACGAUCCUAGAGCCACUAUGCUAUAUUAGCUAAGCUAUCCUAAUGCAUGGUGAUAUAGGUUAUAAAUUUUGUUGAUUACUCUCUCAAUCAAAGAGCACCAGCUAGACAUGAAUCAGUUGAGACACCAAUUGGGAACGAAUCAAAUGGCGCCAUUGCCGGGGAAGGUGCCAACUUCAUAGUGAUAUUAUUUCAGGGUACUUGUGGUUGUCAUCACAAGUUUGGUGAGUUUUCUCUCAUUUUACUAACUCUUUUAGUUUUUUUUCUUUUACUCGUUUAUAUUCUAGCAUAGUUUUUAAUUUAGUUUUAGUUAAUCGAACUCUUUUUGGUAGUUUUGUUUUUGUUUUCCUCUGUUUUUGUUUUUUUUUUUCUUUGUUACAGUUAAUACUAGUUGUGUAUGCCAAAGUGGAUACGAGAUUGUGGAGGAAGGCUUGUUAAACUUGAAACACCUCAUAACAAGGAGUUGGAAGUAAUCUUGAACAUCAUGGAAUCAAAAAGCUAUAUAUACAUUAUUGAAAAUUUUAAAAUGAAUAUAAAUAUUUAUGAUUUAUCUAUAAUAAAUAUGGGAAUAAUAUAAAUAAAAAACUAAUAAUUUGAAGAUAAUAAAAUGUAUAGCAAUUGAAAUACAAACAAAUUAAAAUAAUAAAAUCUUUUUAUCUUAAUAAAUAAAAGUUACUCAUUUAAUAAAACAAAAAUUACUAAUAAUUUAAUAAAUCAUUAAGUUAUCCUUAUCAUAUUUUAAGCUAUCAAUAUUAACAAUAAUAAAAUGAUGAAAUGUGUUUAAAAUUUAAUUACUUAUUUAUUUUCUUAUUUUGUAUAAUUGUUUUUAGUUUUAUUAAUAAUGCAAUUUAUAUAUUUAUGACAUCAUUGGUUUAAUCAUUUCAACCAUCGAUUUGAUCAGGGAAUUGUGAACUAAUAAUUUUUCCAAUUUAAUGAUUAAUCCAACUUUGAAAACAUUAUUUUAAUGUAUGUACACUAAACCUUAGCGGAUGUGAUUGAAAUUAACUCAUACAAACAAUUUUGUUCGUAUAUAUUUCUAGUUCUUUUACUUAUGUUUAUAUGACUUUUGAAAUUUGCACAUAUAAUUGCUAUUGAUAGCAUUUGGAUAUGCAUUCUAACCUAUUGGUCAUGACUAAGCAAAACCACUAUAAACAACCAUGACAUGAGUACCAACAAAGCCAAGUCACUCACCCUCUUCAUAUAGUUUUUAUUUUUAUUUUUAUUUUAUUUUUAUUUUUAUUUUUGUUAAUGUUUGGAUAUGAGAAUAAGGAAAAAAAGACAAGACAUGCAAGCAAGGGAAAGGAAAAGUAAUGGGAGGGAUAAAAGAUUCAUAAUAAUGAUAAGGGCUUAAGUAUGGUACAGAUAAGACCUUUUUAGUACCAAUUAGUGGGUAUCACAUAUGCACUGGUUCAUUGCUUUGUUCUUAGCAUCUCAUUAUUUUGUAUUGUGACCUCCCAAGUUGGAUCAAACUAUGCAUCACUUUCCUCCUCAAGAUCAAAAAUCCAAAAAAUAAAAAAGAAUAGGUCGAUUAGACAAACCUUUCUUCAAUAAUCAAGUUAACCAUGAGGUUAAGUGAAAAAGACAUAAAAGAUUAAAUUGUUUUUGUACCUUAUUUUGGUGUAUUAAUUAUGAGAAGUUAAUAAAUGGAGGCAUCAAUUAUAUAUUAUACCUUCAAUGAUUUCCAUUAUCAAUAUCUUAAAGGCUCUAAUCAUUAUGCAAUAAUUAUGGAAUGACAUUUAAGGUUUUGGUCAUUACAUGAUUAAUAUGUGAGUCAUUGUCAUUACAUAAUUAAUGUAUAGGUUAUCAUUUAUACAAGGUCGUAUUUUCAAAUACUGAUCAUAUUUUAUGAGUGGUAGUCAUUCCUAAAUGUGAUCAAUGCUUUUUGUGAUAUGAUGAUGAUAAUGAUCUAUUAUUGUAGUGAGGUGGGUCUCAUGGGACCUCAUGACAAGCAUUAUAUGGAGGUAGCACAUUGCUUUUUUUACUUUGCUACAUGACAAAGGAUUUUCAUAUCGCUACACUUCCUAUUUUACAUGUGAACUAAUUAUUUUAUAUUUUAGUUCCAUUAUUUUGUAGUUGAGUCUUAUUACAGGCAUUACAUUUUAAUCUCAAUGAUCUAUAUAAUGGUUACAUGUGUUUAUAACAUGGGUCUUUAUACUUUCAUUUAGUGACUCAGAUUUUAUUAUAUACUUAAAUGAUUAAGAUUAAAUUUUCAAUAUCAUAUCAAAUAUAAACCCAAUAUUUUUUUUAUAAUAAUAAAUUUAUUGAAGAAAUGUAUGACUGAAUAUUAGAGAUUGUGGCUCUCAAGUUAACACUAAAAAAACUAUGCACAUAGAAAAUUUUAGUGUUAAAAAACUUGAGGAGAAUUAUUUCCAAUUGGUGACAUGUGUUAGGUAUAAAGUUGCUUUUAAUAAAAUUGAUAACUACAUUACUUAAAUAUAAUACCUUAUUGGUAAUAAUAGUAAAGGUUUAAUUAUGACACCAAAUACUACUUUUUUUGGUAUCAUAUAAAAAAGUUAUCAUCAACUAAGGGUAUCAAAUGUAUGCAUGUUGAUCCUAUUACUUUGUACUUGAUAUCUAAUUAGUUAUACUUUAUAUACAUAAUGAUCGUAUUGGUUUGUAUCUUGGUUCAUUACUUUUCAACAUAUGAUACCUAGAUUUCAUUAUUUUAUACUAAGUGUUUCAUUGUUUUAUACCAUAUAUGUGAUCUCAUUGAUCCAUACCUUUGUUCCAUUAUCUUGUACCAUGUGAUAGCUCAGUUCCCUUGCUUUUGCUAUGUAUUACAUGGGACUUUGGUUCCAUUAUUUUGUAUUCAAUUGUGUUAUUAUUUUAUAAUUUAUAUAUAAUUCUAUUGUUUUCUACCUUAAUUUCACUAUUAUUAACUGUGAAUAACAAUCUCAAUAAAAAAGUUUUCUAUGAUAUGGGAUCUAUAUUAUAUAUUAAAUUUAUCAUAGAAGGAAGAUAAUUGCUCGCCAUCUAAUGCUCAAAAAAACUUAUGCAUAUGAAAGAUUUUCGUGUCAGAAAAUUAGAGAUUUUUUUUUUCUAGAAUUGAGUCAAAAAGGUACAUGUGUGACAUUUAAAUUUAUGAUUGAGAUAAGACCAUUUGGAAUUAGAGAAUUGAUCGAUGUUCAAUUAAUAAUGCAGCAGUGUUGAAAUUCAGUGGAAUUAAUUUAGUUACUAUUGAAUGGAUGUCUCACAAAGUGGACUAAAUUUUAUCGAUUUGAUUGAUUCGAAAAAUUCAUAUGUUUAACGGAUUUAAUAUUGGUGAUUAAUUAUAUCAAUUCGAAAAAUUACAUACUUCUUACAAUCAUUCAAUAUUAAAUUAUAUUGUUUAUUAGGGAGGAUUGAAGAGAUCAAAGAAUGCCAAGGAAAAAAAAAACAAUGACACACGCCCACAGGCUAAGACUUCAACAUUAGCUAGUGAUUUAUUCUAUAUUCUAUGUCAGCCAUGACAUCACCUCCAUUAUUCUUCUCCAAGCCAAAACCACAUGCUGAAGAUCUAUAUAUAUAUCUGAAUCAUCCGGUGUUUAAUUCCACUGAAAGUAAGAAAAUUUCUUAGAAUUUUCUCUGUUAGCCGUAGUAUUAGCUAGUGAUGAUGAAGAAAAUAGAGCUUAUUUUUGUCUCUGUCUCAGCUAUAGGACAUAUUGUAUCAACUGUGGAGUUUGCUAAGCUUCUUGUUGGUAGAGAUGACCGCUUCUCAGCCACUCUGCUCAUCAUGAAGCUACCUUUUGAGGACUCUGCGGCAACCAACUAUAUCCAUUCAGUUUCUGCUUCCGUUUCCGGGUCCAUUCGAUUUGUCCACCUUCCUGAACUCGACUCAGAUUCAUCAUCGUCAUCCACUAGUAUCUUAUUCUCUAAUAUCAUUGAAAGGCAGAAGCCUCUGGUGAGGGAUGCAAUUCACCAUCUCACUCGGUCUGAGUCAGGUCGACUCGCUGGGAUUGUGGUCGAUUUGCUUUGCACUUCCAUGAUAGAUGUAGCUAAUGAAUUGGGUGUUCCUUCCUACGUGUACUUCGCCUCCAGUGCGGCCUGCCUUGCUCUCAUGUUUCAUCUUCAAACCCUCAAGGACCACCAGGGCUUGGAUGUUACUGAGUUUGCUAACUCGGAUGCUGAGUUGGUGGUCCCGGGUUUUGUCAACUCGGUUCCUGCUCGAGUCUUGCCUGCUGUGGCGGUGGACAAGGAGGGUGGCGGAUCCAUGGAUUUCCUCGACCGGGCAAGGGGCUUUAGAGAGGCCAAGGGUAUUUUGGUAAAUACGUUUGUGGAGCUAGAAUCUCAUGUGAUUAACUCCUUUGUCGAUGGUACAACUCCUCCCAUUUACACAGUAGGGCCGUUAUUGAACUUACAACAUGCCAACAACCAAAAACAAGAUAGUGGCUUGGAUGUCAUCCGAUGGCUUGAUGAUCAGCCCACAUCAUCUGUGGUGUUUUUAUGUUUUGGUAGCGCUGGAGCAUUCCACAUGGAUCAAAUCAAGGAGAUUGCAAUUGGGCUUGAGAAUAGUGGGCAUGGUUUCUUGUGGACACUCCGAAGACCUCCACCAAAAGAUAAGAUGACACUAUCUAGUGAUUAUGUGAAUUUCAAUGAAGUAUUACCUGAAGGGUUCUUAGAUCGUACAUCUAAAAUUGGAAAGAUAAUUGGAUGGGCACCACAAGCGGCUGUUUUAGCUCACUCUGCAGUAGGAGGGUUUAUAUCUCAUUGUGGGUGGAAUUCUACAUUAGAAAGCAUAUGGUAUGGUGU
rnacentral:lncRNA from 1 species